rnacentral:lncRNA from 1 species
UUCUUCACCUGGAAUUGAGACUUGGCUGUGCUCAAUCACUUACGCCAACAUGCAGCAUUCUCCUCCGGCCCACACAGCGUGGUGCAGGCAGACAAAGUAAAUUUUUCCACCAGAUCAGAGAAGGCGAUACUUACCACCAGUGGAAAACCAGCCUGUGGCCCAUCCAAGACUGUGAGUACCCCAAUCCCAGAUCCUCACAAUGUUCCCUCACCUUGCCUCAUCUCCUCCACCAGAGGAGGCAAAAGGAGGAAUUUCUUCUUAUCUAAUUUAUAUCCUUUAAAAUUUGUGUGUUGGGAAUUGUCUUCUAUGUGACAGUGCAACAGAGGUGGGUCUCAGGGAGAAAGGCGCUGUCCUCAUGAUUGGGUUAAUGCUAUUGGAAAAUACCUGGAUUUCAAGAUUCAUUCCUUUUUAUUCUCCUGCCAUGUUGAUGACAUGGUUCCUCCCCAACAGAGUGCACUGCAUGAAGGCCCUUGCCAGACACCAGUUGCGAGUACCUUGAUCCUGGCAUUUCCAAAUUCCAAAAUUCUGAAAAAAAUACAUGUGUUCUUUAUGAAUUACCCAGUCUCAGGUAUUCUGUUAGAACAACACAAAACAGGCUAAGAUACUAGUCUGCUCUCUGAUUAUUGUCUCCCUCCCUCAGAACCUCCUUCCAUGAAAGCUCUGUGUGUAAAGACAGACAAGAGACAGAGUAGUGCUAUAGAAGCAAAGCUGUCAGAAAUCAAGACAUUUCAUAUUUAAAACUAGUAACCUCGCUCUCAGGAUAAUGCGUGUUUUUGAUACUAAAUACUAAGCUAUUUAUUCUGUGAAGGAUUCCUAGGUACAUCAAUCUUAUCAAUAUAGCUACUGCUAUAUCCCAGCACAUAUGUAAGAAAAGAGAAUCUCAGAAUUUUAGUAACUUUUCCAAAAUCACACAGCAGCAAGUGCAUAGUGGAAACAAACCACUGUUAGACCCCAAAAGAUGGGAGAGGAAAGAGCAAUGAAUGGAGAGACAUGAAACAGGGGUUCCAUUCUAUUCCCUUUGGGGAUCACUAACCAAGUGACUUAAUGUACAUAUUUUAUUUUUUGGGAACCUAAGUUUCUUUCCAUGAAAAUUGAACACUUGAGCUAGAUGGAAUUGAUCUUCUCUCUCUCCUUUUUUUUUGGUGUGGGGGGGGACUGUUUAUUUAUCUGUUUAUUUUAUGUUAAGUUUCCUGGAAAACAGACUCAGACCCUGAGCACUUCAUGCAAAACUAGUAACUAGUAUUUAUUGGAGAAUGCUCUUGAAUGAUGUCAAAAGCAAUAAUCGGCAGAGGGAGAAGUUGAACCUUGAUACAAUUUUAAUAAAAGUCUAUAGGGGGUUCUGAACCUGAGAAUUAUACUCACUGAGGCAAGGGAGCCAGAUCUUUGUGUCCCUAGAAAGACUAGACAUGAGUAUAGGCUGCCCCCAGGAUGGGGGAGUAACCUUGGGAAAUUCUUUUUUUUUUUUUUUAGCUUAUGGUAAUUCAGGAAAGGAACUCACCUGUAAGCCAUCACUACCCCCAACACUCUCAGCACCAGGGAGAUUGGGUGUCCCCAAUUAGAAGAAGGGGUUUGGUGUUGUCCUUCUCGGAUGCUUUUCUAUAUCAUUUACUUUGCCCACUGAGUUCCAUCCACCUCUAGAAGCAGCUGCUACAGGAUUCUCCGACUGAUCUAGUUUCUUGCAGAAACUUGCAAGAGGAAGAAAGCUAGUGGAAGGAACUACACCCCAACCACAGGAGUCUUAAGUCUGCAACAUAUACUCACCUCAUAUAGCCCCCUCCUCUGCUACCCAUUCUAGAUGAUCCUCAUCCUUGGCUAGCAUUUCUGCUUGUGGCAUCCUUGAUCCCUUCCAUGAGGUCUGAGUUCCUCAUGCCAUGGCACCAACUAUGGUUGCUACACUUGUCUAAUUUGAGCUGGAGAGAACACAGGGAUAUCUCACUGGAUCACUUGGGGGUCACAUUUAUUUCUUGUCCUUCUGUGUAACAGGAGCUGAAUCUCUUCUUAAUGACCAGCUCAAUUAUAUCUGCAACUAUGGUGAUUCCUUCCUUGACUGCCAAACUCUUGCUACCAGGGGCCUUAAGUAACCAGGCUUCAGACAGCCUUACAGUUGAAUGGAACACUUGCCACAUUUCUCUUGAUCCCUGUCUGAGAAUCAGGGCUUCUAGUUAUGUAGAACCUAGAGUUUUAGGACUGACAAGCACAGAUUUUCCAAGUGGAUCAUUGAGAACAAUGAUGAGCUGGAUAAUUUCUAUUUCAAUCUCUUCAUUCAUAGACUAUAAAUACCGUACUUCCUUGGUCACAACUUCUUGGUCUGAUGCAAUGUCAUGUGGAAUCUCAUGUCAAGAAGUCCUAUAAUCUUCAAACUUUUGGUCGUGUUAUAGGCAAGAAAGGCAAACCUAUACCCAGAAUAUUUCUUUUGGUCAAGAUGAAUCUCUAUCAAGUCAAUGGUGAAAAUCAUCCCAAGUAGGUAGUUGCUCAUAGAGAGAAAUGGCUCAGCAUUGAUGCCUCUUGCUGGAAGAUUAGUCACAAGGCAGCAGUAGUAGCUCAUCAGCUUUGGGGCAUGGAAACCUAGCUGUGUGACUCAUGCACAGCUUCCUUCUCUACUAUUCUGAAAACAUUGUUCAUGAGCUCUUUGCAUAGAUGUGAUGGGCCCAUGACAGGCUGACUGCUGUCAAUUGUUAAGGUCAUUCUAUCUACUAGUUGUUUACUGGCUGUCCUGUGGUGGUUGCUUUCUCUAAGCAUUAAAAUAUGAUGGAGGAAACUUCAUACUUGUGCCUACCACAUACCAAUUCUACAGAUAUCCUUAUUCCAGAUAUUCCAGUCUUUCUUUUCUCAGGGCCAUGAUCAACAGCCACGUCAUUCCCUAUAGCCCACAUGUCCAUGCUUAUUCUUACCUCUAAUUGCUUCUCUUUCCACACAGUGGGAAUGACCACCUGUACUACUCAAUUCUCUUGGGAGGAGUUAGCCUCAAUAGCAACUCUCAGAACCACCAUCUGCAUCAAGCGGUGUUUCAAAAGAGUGCAAUUUUAACAUGUACCCACACACUUGCCAACUACUUUUCAACUAGUACACACUUCUCUACUGCAGAGAGUCAGGUUUUUAUCCAGAAACUUAGGCACAUAGGUUGUGAGUUUCCCAUCAGAACUCACCUCAAACUCUACAGAAUGAUAUCUUUUCCACCACAAAUAUCAGUAAAACCACAGGAUCUUUGAUGCCAUAAAGACCAAGUGGAAGAACUGUUUGAAUUGAAGUCAGUCUAUUAAAGAGUCCUGAUGUGUUCUUGAUAGGAAGAGCAAUGUCUUGUGUUUCAGAAUCAGCAUGUCAAUGAGGCAAAGAUGGCUUCUAUAUUUAAGUAUCUCUUAUAGUAAGCCUUGUCUACAGAGGAAAGUCACCACUGAUCUGAAUAGUAUUUUUUCCAACUUGUCAAUAAAAUGGUUGUUCCCCUGGAACAUAGUUUUGGCUGGUAGAUUUCUAACUUUAUGUAGUCUACCUGUGAUUGUAUGUCCAAAUCUCUGAGCAUUUUGUACCCUUUCUCCACCAUUGACCCCAAAAUCCAAGUGUAACAUGCUAAAGCUCUCAAGGGUUAUCCAACAGUGUGUAAUCUUUAUCUGCCAGGGAACUUGUUACAAUGUUAAGUCUUAUAUUGUAGGACAGUGUGUACAUACAGAGGGAGGGACUCUUCCUUAUCCCUCUUGAUCCAGUAGCCUCGGAUCCAGGUUUAGAUAUACUUUCCUCGUUUCUAUUUGCACAUGUUGAUUAGAUCCUAUAGCUCCUCCAAGAUUGUUCGUUAUUCUUACUGCAUGACUGUUGUGGGCUGUUUGAAAUAAAUAACUGGGUCAGUCUUGAAGCCGGGCAUGGAACUUUAUUCACAGGCAGUCUGAAAGGGCAGCAAACAAGUUGCCUUGGCACCCCUCAAACCCCACCACAAGUUAGAGCACACUCUUUGUAGCCCUAAACCAUAAGUAAAGUACGUUAAAACCAUUGCAACAUAGGAAGUGGGUCAGAAGGACCCAGUUCAGGGUACAGCCAGAGUACAUUGUCAAAGAAAAAUGGAAACUAAAAAGAGAACAUCUUACAAAAGCAUUUCUUAAUAAUACAUUGUAUAAGAAUAAAAGAAAUAUUUUUCACGUACUAUGCAUUGCCAAACAGGGUGUGCUUAGCAGGAGUUGGGUUAGAGAGGUGGGGUUUUCACAUGGGAGAAACAUUUCUUAUAUGAAAUAGAGUCAGGAUACAAUGGAGUUUUUCUGGGGAAGGCAGAUAUAGUUUGGCCCACAACAUGACAAAUCAUUCUAAAAGCAGUGUAGUGAAACAACAGUCUAUUAUUAUUAUUAUUAUUAUUAUUUCUCCACAGUUAUAGAAGUUGACUGGGCUUAGCUGAGCAGUUCUUACUCUAGCUCUCUCAUGUGGCCAAAGUCAGACACAGACUAGGACUAGAUUCUUGGUUUUAAUUCUUGCAUUAUGGGAGUCUCAUUAAGGAAGUUGGGGCCUAAUCCCACAUGAUGGAGAUUUGGUGUGACCCUAUGAUUUUUUGCAUUGUGUGUUUCUUCCAUUAGGCAUAAGGUCUCUGGUUUAAUUCCUAGGUCCUUGAUCCACUUUAAGUUGAGUUUUGUGCAUGGUAAGAGACAGAUAUUUAGUUUCAUUUUGUUACAUGUGGAUUUCCAGUUUUCCGAGCUCUAUUUGUUGAAGAGGCUAUCUUUUCUCCAGUGUACGUUUUUGGCACCUUUGUAUAAUAUAACUGUAGCUGGUGCAGCCAAUCUGGAAAGCAGUAUGGAGAUUCCUUGGAAAACUUGGAAUUGAACCACCAUUUGACCCAGCUCUUCCACUCCUCGGUUUAUACCCAGAGGACUUAAAAACAGCAUACUACAAGGGACACAGCCACAGCAAUGUUUAUAGCAGCACAAUUCAUAAAUUGUGGAACUAACCCAGCUGCCCUUCAGUAGAAGAAUGGACACACACACACACACACAAUGGAACACUACUCAGCAUUAAAAGAGAAUAAAAUCAUGGCAUUUGUAGGUAAAUGGGUGGAGUUAGAGAAUAUAAUGCUAAGUGAAGUAAGCCAAUCCCAGAAAACCAAAGGCCAAAUGUUUUCUUUGAUAGGAGGAUGCUGACUCAUAAUGGUAAUGGGGGUGGGGAGCAUGGGAGGAAUGGAGGAACUUUAGAUAGGGCAAAGGGGAGGGUUGGAAAGGGAGGGGGAAAGGGGGUAGGAAUAAUGGUGGAAUGAGUUAGACAUCAUUACCCUAAGUACAUGUAUAAAGAAACGAAUGGUGUGAAAAUACUUUGUGUACAAUCAGUGACUUGAAAAGUUGUGCUCUAUAUGUAUAACAUGAAACGAAUUGCAUUCUGCCAUCAUGUAUAACAAAUUAGAAUAAAUAAAUAAUUUAAUAAAAACACCCCCCCCCAAACAAAAAUAAAACCACAAACCAGUCCAGUAAUGAAGAAGGAGGAUGUGAAAAAUGAAAGCUGGAGGGGAAGACUAGGUAAAAAGGGAAACUUUGCAGUCAUCUAGGUGGGAGACAGUGGCUAGCCAUGGUGGAAAUGAAGACGUGAGUGCAGGCUGGGAAUUGAGUGAUGAGACAUGUGGUGUGACCCUAUGAUUUUUUGCAUUGUGUGUUAUUAAACAUUGGCAUAUCUAAUUAAGAUAGCAGUCAUACAAAAAUACAAUUUCAGAAUCAACAUUUAUUUUUGUUGUUUGCAUUUGAGGUACCUAUAGGACAUCACAGUGUCCUAGUAGGUAGUGAGAAAUGAGGCCUGAGCAUAUUCAUUGAAAAACUAACAACGUUUCAUUGAUUAUUAAGGCCAGGAACACAAAUGGAACAAGUCAGGCCACAUGAAGACUUUGGAGCAAGGAUCUGUAACUUAGAAUAUGUGUGUCAAUGUCCUCCAGCCAAAGACCAGCAUGGAGUUGAAUUUAUUCCUCAUUGCAUAAGCAAUGAUAAGUAAUGCAAAAAAACUGUGUGUGUCCCUAUAAAAGAGUUUAGAAAUGGGGCCCAGGUUGUGGCUCAGUGGUAGAGCACUUGCCUAGUGUGUGUGAGGCACUGGGUUCGAUUCUUAGCACCUAUUUAAAUAAAUAAAAUGAAGGUCAAUUAACAACUAAAAAAUAUUUUUUAAUAAGGACCUAUUAAACAGUUUGGGCUUUAGUUGGAUGAAUUUGAAAAGAAUUUAAGAAAGCAGGGAUUCAGUUCACUCGAAGUUGGGCGUUAGCAAAAAUAGAUGCAACACAAAUGUCCACCAAUUAAUGAAUGAAUUAAAUAAUGCAAUAUAUCCAAUACAAUUCAAUAUUAUUUUUCCACGAAAAAGAAUACACAUUGAUACAAGCUACAACAUGGAUGAACCUAAAAAUUCUAUGCUAACUGAAAGAAGAUAGUUACAUGCACAGAGAAAAAACAUAUAUGCUAAGAUUCCCUUCAUAGGAAAUGUUAAGAAAUGGAAAAUAGAGAGAGAAAGCAGAUAAGUGGUUGCUUGCACUGGGGGAAAGGGCUGAUUGGGGAUGACAGCUACAUUUCUUUUUUGAGAUGGAAAAAAAUGUUAUAAAAUUCUCUGUGAUGGUUGCACAACUCUGAAUGAACUAAAACUCCUGACUGAACACUUUAAAUAGGUGUAUUCACAUUGCUGAUGUUGGUCUUUGGUGGGGUUGUUCAUGUCCCUUGAGGAAAUAACAGGGCCUCAUUGUGAGGGCCAGCAAGCUAGGAGUAGUCCUGAGGCCAGGCUCCAUGAGUGAGCAAGCUUCUGGGUGCUGGGACUGCUUCUGGAUUUUCAGACAUGGAUCCUCUGGAGUGCUUUGGGAGCACUUCAGUGGACUUGUAACCCCUGAAUUUCCCUACAAUAUUUUUGAUGCGAGUAUGAAUUUUACAGGUAAGAAAAUUCAUGGAAUUCAUCAAAAGUUGAUUGUCAUCAGAGAAGUCUAAGACCCACUGAUCCAAAUUAAACAGUGAAAAAGACUAAAGACUCUGAAGUGCCAGGAUUUUAAGGGGACUUGUAGAAAGAGAAGCUGUAGCAAUGGGGGCCCAGGAACCUUGAGGAGAGAAAGAGGAAAGAACUGAUACCCUGGGCACAGAAAGGUCAGAAUAAAACUCUCUGAAGUAAUUAAACAGCCCCAUCUUGAGGAUGAACAGAAGAGAUGCUGUUCUAAGAGAUAUUUUUGUAAGAAAAUAGACAUUCAUUUCCCCAGAGGGUUUUAGUCAUCGACCUGCAUGAAAUACCUCCUGGUUUUCAGAUGCUUUGGGUCUGUGAUUUUAGGGAGUCAUACUCCUUUCCCCAGAGGCUGACGGGAUGCAAAGGUCACUGGUCUCUGUGAGUUACUGGGAAAGCAAGGAAGAGGCUGUGAGCCUCCCCCAGGUCUGCCAUCCCCUAACCAGCUUCCUGACUCAUCUCAUCCAACCUUCUGUGAGCUUUGCAAGGCAACAGUGAGUGGAAAAUUUUAAAAUUCCCAACUGCAUGUUUUCUGAGGCAUUCACCAAGGAAACAGGAAGUUGCACACCUCAUCAGUCUGUGUCUCCAGCUUAUGAAUGUGCUCACUCCUUAGAGCCAGGAAGAAUUUGCUCACAGCUCCACUUGAUCUGAAAAAAGCCAGAGAUGAGUUUUCCUGAAAUAUUCUUGUGUCUUCCUGUUCUUCGUCAUCGCGACCAUGGUUUUCUGCUUCUACCUGCCUUCAUUGCCCAUGGGACAAGUGUGUGUACGGGAGAGGAUUAGCUAUCCCUAUGACUUUAUUUGGAAUAUUUCAUCACCAGCUCAGGGUCUCUCAUUCUGGCAAAAGACCAGAUUCCAAGUGGGAAUCUGUUACUCACUAUUCAAUUUUGUUUUUUCUCAAACUCAGAAUAUUAGAAUGAUUCUGUAGAAAUACUCAGAGUAAUGGCUAACGUUUACAAAAUACUUAUUGUUUACCAAGUAAUUACUUUCCAGAUACCAGCUCAUUUAAUCUAUACAAUUCUAUUCUAUAAAUGCUAUUAUUAUUAACAUUUCACAGAUGAGAAUCUGAGGUAUGGAUACUUUAACUAUUCACACUACUUAUUAUCUAUUCCAUAAAUACUAUGAAACUCUGUCCUAUAAAAAUGCUGUUACUGUGAAUAUUCUGCUAUUACAUAUUCAACAAAUAUUUAUUUUUAAUUUUUGCAGUACUGGGAAUUGAAUUCCGGGCCUUACACAGGCUAAGCAAGCACUCUACCAUUGAACUUUAGAUCCCCAGCUCUCAACAAAUAUUUUAUUACUCCUAUUUUGCAGAAGAAAAAGUAAGGCACAAAGAUUUUUUUCCCCAUUGCUCAAUAUCACAUAGCUGAAGCUUUAACAAGAAGGCAGUGCUAUAGUUUGGGAUCCAUAUCUUACUUCUCAGUAGCAGAACACUCAUGAUCUAUACCAACCUUUGCAGAAGGCUUAGGGUCAUUCUGAUAACCAUGAUGAUGGAUGUCCUUGCCCAGGUACACAGUCUCCUUGUCUCUCAUUGCCUCCAGCCCCUGGCAGGUUGAUUCAUGGCUGGAAUGGGGGAAAGGUACCAUCCAUGGCCUAAAAAGGAUUCUUGGAUAUUUGAGGACCUGGAAGAGCAUUGUCCUCAUGGUGGGAAGUUGUGUGUUGGAGGCACAUUCUAUGAGGUGAAAGUGCUGAGAGAGAGGCUGAAUUUUCCAAGAAUGUCCAAUGUGAUUCAUGAAUGUACAGACACUGACAUUUAGGUUCAGUGAGGCCAGCAUUGCCUAGCAGAGGCCAUAACCACAGAUUCUGAGAUCUGGGGUCAGAGUUGUGGUGAAGAAGGCCAUGGGUGCUCUGGACUCUUUGGCCCCUCUGGCCUCUCCUCAGCAUUUGGACACCCCUCUGCUCACUAGCUUACCCCCAUUUUUAGUUCCAUUCACUUUGAUAUUCUUCCUAUUAUUAAACAUUUUCUGGGGAAAUAUUCUUAGUUGUUAUCAGCUGCAGGAUCUCAUAAAACAAUUUACAUUUAAUAAAAGAUUUUGACUCCCUCAAGGGUCCGACUCCUGACUGCAUUAGUGUUAAAACAUGAAUAAUUCAAGGGCGUCUCCAUCCCUCCCAACAAGGUUGUGCAGUUUUGCGUGAUGUUCUGGUAGUACUGGGCAGCAAGGGUUCGAGGAGAUAGCUCCAACCAGGGGAUCUUUAGAGCAUCCUCAUUUGUUCCUCACAUCCUGUUGUCUUCUUUUUGCUCAGCACAUUACAUUCCUGUGUAAGUGGGAAGAGAAUGGUUAGCACUCUUGUGAAUCUUCCCAUUCCAUUUUUUAAUCGAUUGAGUAUUUCAAUUAUGUAAACCUUGAGCUCAGCAUCUAAAAGCUACUGUUAAUAAACCUAUCACACAUAAUGAUAAUACUGAAACACUAACAACUAAAUAUUUCUCUCUGUGUGUACAUGUGUGUAUGUGUGUACUGGGUGGGGGAUGAUGUAUCUCAUAAUGCAAAAAUGCCAGUGGACCAAGCUUUGGUUUGAAGGUGCUGUGAGGGUGACGUUGCGUUCUGGGAGCUGAAGGGCUGGGAUAUUAGGAUGUAAAUGGAUACACCUUGAAAAACUACUUUUGGAGAGAGGGCUAGGAAGAAAAAUAUUUAUAUAUGUACAUAACUAUAUACAUAUAGGCUGAUAUGGAAAUACAGAGAAAAGUUCAAUGUCUCCCUAUGACCAGAUGGGGACAUAAAGAAGAUGUUUCUUAAGUGGAAAUAAGGCAGUCUAUAGGGAUCAAUGGGCUGAGGAAGAAGGAUUUAUUCAAUGGCAAAUGUAAGUAGAGAGAGAGGACUCUUCCUGAAGCCUAGCUCCUGAUUUGAAUGAAGCCUAAUCUGCAUAUAACAUAAGCUAUAAAUCAGACCAAAUAAGAUUAUGGUGUGUAUCAUGUGCUUCCGCUUUACCCCUGAUAUAUUUACUUUAAAGAAGAAUUAACUUGCUGGCCCGGUUGUGCAUGUCUGUAAUCCCAGCAGCUCUGGAGGCUGAGGAGGAGGAUAGUGAGUUCAAAGCCAGCCUCAGCAAAAGCAAGGUGCUAAGCAACUUAGUGACACCUUGUCUCUAAAUAAAACAUAAGAUAGGGUUGGGAUGUAACUCAGUGAUCGAGUGCCCCUGAGUUCAGUCUCUGGUACAAAAAAAAGAAGAAGAAGAAGUAUUAGCUUGAAAUUUGAUUUCUCACUGAAUUGUACUUAAUUAAAUUUGCCUUCCACAGAUUAUAUUUUACUUAGGAAUGGAGCCUUGAAGAUGUAUAGUUAUAAUGCUUGGAUACAGAAGAGGGCCCUUGUAUCUCAGGAAUGGUAGAUCCCUUGAAUGAUGAAUACAAUGGGAGGUGCAAGCUGCACACUUGAAUUUCAGGAAGAGAAAAUGAUGAUGUCCUUAAAAACAGGCCACAAACAAAUGGGCAAUCAACUCCUUGACUGCUAACUAGCUUUACUUCAGUGGUAUAAAUUCAGCAUCUAUAAUGUAUUGUGGGGAAAGGAAGUGACUUUUUUUUUUUUUGGACUGGGGAUUGAACUCAGGGGCACUCAGCCACUGAGCCCCAUCCCCAGCCCUAUUUUGUAUUUUAUUUAGAGAAAGGGUCUUACUGAGUUGCUUAGUGCCUUGAUUUUGCUGAGGCUGGCUUUGAACUCUUGAUCUUCUUGUCUUGGCCUCCAGAGCCAAUGAGAUUACAGUCAUGCUCUACAGUGCCCAGUAGAGGUGACUUUUUAUGUAGCAACAGGUGAGCUUCCAUGCUAGAUGGAUGGUGCACAAGCUGUGCCUAUGUGAGGCCAGCUGGACUUGAGGUCUCUGGGGUGAACUCUGAGAGGGAUUGUGCAAGUUGCAAAAGUGGAGUAAACAAAAUGUGGAGGACUAAAGUUCAGGACCUAAGAUACACGCUCUGUGAGGAAGGCAGGAGACAAUAAGACAGAGGAAACCCACCUGGAGCCUGAGAGCACAGGCUACAGAGAGAAUGGAGUAAUCAGGGUUCCCAGAGGAGGGGAUUAGGUGGCAGGAGGGCAGGUCAUCCCCAUAUGAAACCACAAGAAUCAUUCACCCAGCCUAAGAAGUCAAGGGUCUUGCUUCCUUGACAGCCUGAUUGCAUGACCAUAACAAAAACAAACGGACUGGAAGGUACAGGUAGGCUCUGUGACAGCCACCAAAUGGUCAGAAAUAGAGGAAGGGACUUCUAGGCAAAAAGGAGUGAAGACAAGGGGAGACCAGAAAGGCAUGUUUGGUACUUAAAUAUUUCCCAGAUAAUUGAGAAAGUCUGAAUCAUCCAGGGCUUCCUGCUGGCUUUAUUUGGCCCCCUUCCGUACAUUGUGCACACUUAAUAAUUAUACUUGAAACAGCAUAUAUUUAGAAGUGAACCAGAUGAUAGAAGAAUGGAGGAGUGAGGACAGCCAGGCCACAGUGGCUGGAUCGUUGACUUCCAGUCAAUAGGAGGACAUCAUGUGCCCAAGUUCACUCUUUUCCACAAUAAUCCAAAAUGGGGGCACAUUAAGGCACAUGGAGGUAAAGAGGGGUGAGAUUAGUGAAUUGGCUACAGAGAGGGGAAGAGAUUCAAGAAGGAGAAGCAUCACCUUGGCUGCAAUGGCAAUCUUCCUUUGUUCAAAAUGAUGCAACUCUAAUAGGACUGUGUGUGCCCUCUGAUCUAUGCAAAUCCACCUGGUGCCUCAUGUCACCACUAAGCCAUCUUUCCUGCCUCAUUAGAGGAGGAAGUGUUUCCUUUUACUUUAAGCUAAUUUCAUAUCAUGGCAUAUUUGAGGUGUUUAGAUCAUAGCAGUUAAACACUGAGCUCCUGAGCCAAGCAAUUGUGAUACUAUAAUGACAUUAUCAAUAAUAAUAUCCCAAGAAUAAACCCUUCUAGAGCAGUCAGUAUGUGCCAGGCACUAUUCUAUGCACUUUGAAUAUAUUAUGACCUUAUUAACAAAUUAGGUAUAAUUUGUAUCCUAUAACAAAUUAGAUAUAAUUUGUAUCUGCAUUUUAGAGCUGAAGAAGUCCAGGUGGAGAGAAGUUAAGAAACACAAGAUCACAUGGCUCUGUGUGCUUGAGUGAGAAUCUGAGCUCCUGCAGUCUGGUUCCAGAGCACUUCUAUCUUUGCCAGAUGCAUAAUUUGGAUUCGUUCUCAAAUCCACCCAGCUUAGCAAAAGAAGUUCCUAAGUAAUGGUGCCCAGUGAAUCUCCACCCUGUUAAUCCAACUUGAAAUUUAUGUCAGAGGCCAAGAAGAACGUAAGGGCAGUGAUACUUAAAUUCGAAAAUGUGGGUUUAACUUUUUUCAUCACAAAGCCAUGUAGGAUUCUGGGUAUCACUUUUAAUUCUCUUAGUCUCAAUUUCCUCAAAUAAAAUUAAUAAUCCCUUUCUUGCCUAUAUCAUAAGAUUUGGGGUAAUAUCAGCUGAAACUAGCUUACAUAAAGGUUUGAUCAAUUCUAAAAGGGUGUGGGGGCAUAAGGGUUUUCCAUGUCUCUGUGGAAACCACUUAACAAGGCAUAACCAAUGCUUGGCUUAGGUUAAAACCAUAGCAACGCUGUCACUCAUGAAGGGCAGCAUAUUAUUUCUAUAUCACUGGGAAAGUAAAAACAGGAAGUAUGGGAAACUGAAAUGAUGGGCUCCGGUCAAAGACACAUUUGCCCUGACCCAUUGUGUUAAAUUAAUUAUGUUGUCUUUAGGAAAAACCAUAAAAGGCUAAUGAACUCAGAGAUUGUGAUGAUGUUAAAAGGCACUGGUGAAUGUCCUUCAUCUUUGGGUUUAUUCUACUACAUUCCUUGCACUAUCGCUCAGGGAGAUUUCCAAGGAGCACAAAAACAGUUGAAUGUGUGUGUGUUACUCCAAAGGCAGGCAGAGUCUCAGAUGGAAAUUUUCCUCUUCAGAAAACUAAAGAGUCAGACUCUGAACUCAAGGCCACAAGUUUAAAUUCAAUUCACAUCAGUGUGACUAAAUCCUCUACUAAUGACUGUUCAACGGCUGAAGAGGAAGACAUUGGUCACAUUGGGAAGCUCCCAGGAGACACAUCAGUCUCAGAUCACAGCCAUAGCAGACACCCUCUGACUGGCUUGAUGACUCUUCAGUAGACAAAGGGAAGUCAUAAGUCAUCAAGCAUACAUUUAGGUGAAAAAUAGGAGAAAACAUAUGUUCAAAAGAAGAAAUAUCCCGAGGAACACUCAUGAAAAGAGAAGCCAUUUAAAACUUCCAAGCAUUUGUUGGAAAAUCCCCAUGUUAUAUGUUUGUUGGAUACAGGGCUCAUAUUAGAUCAAUUUAGGAGAUUCUCAGAUCUAUUUGUAUAAUUAUUUAUAGAUACUUUCUCCUUACUAGUGAUUUGUAGACUUAAGCUAUUAAUGUAAUGCAAUUAUGUCAAAUUCUUUAUUGGCUUGUCAUUAUCUCCUUCUAAUUUUGUUAACUCAAGAUUUCUGUGUUUUAAGGAUUUUUGCUUAGGCACAUACACGUUUACAAUGAAUUUAAUCUGACAGCUCUGUAAUGAAUAUGUUGUGUACCUUAGUUAUCCUUAUUAAGAUGUUUUGUCUUAAAUUUCAUUUUAAAUCAAUACUGUUAUGUCACCUGAUUUUAGAUUCUGGAUGCACAGAAUCUAAAAUAAUAUUUGUUUUUCCUUUUAAUUUUUCUGUAUAUUUUAGUUUUAAGUGUGUAUUUUGUUAGGUGCAUAUAGGAUCCUGUUUUGUUUUGUCUAAAUGAUAAUUUCUGCCUUUUAGUUGUUAGUUGUUUAGUUGUUACAUUUGAAUAUAUUUAUUGUUAUAUUGAUAUUUGUUAUAUUUAUUGUUAUAUUGAUUAAUGUUAUAUUGAUAUUUAUUUCUAACCCAGAGAAACAACUCAGUACUCUAUCAGAGAAAUUUCAUAGAGAGAUUGAAGUUAUUAAAAAAGUAUCAAACAGAAAUCCUUAAGCUGAAAAGUGUACUAAACAAAAUUUAAAAGGUGAUAAAGGAAAUCAAAGGCAAGUAGAUGAAACAGAAAAAAGAAUCAGUGAGCUCAAAAAUAGGCUAUUUGAAAAUAUACAUUCAAAGGAGAAAAAAUAAAAAUUAAUAAAAAGGAAUGAAGAGGGGCUGGGAUUGUGGCUCAGCAGUUGAGCGUUCACCUCCCACUUGCAAGACCCUGGGUUCCAUCCUCAGCACCACAUAAAAAUAAAUAAGUGAAAUAAAGCUAUUGUGUCAAACUACAGUUAAAAAUAAAUAUUAAAAAAAAGGAAUGAAGAAAACUGAAUAAGAAAUUUGAGAAAGCUUUAAAAAAGUAAAUAAUUUGGGGUUUUGGUGUUAAAAAGGGUCUUAGGAAUGCCAGAGGGGUAAAAGUAUAUUCAAAGACACAAAAAUGGAACAUUUUCUGAAUUUAUAGGAGGACAAAAAUAUUCAGGUACAGACAAGUCAAAGGCACCAGUCAGAUUUCACUCAAACAAUCUACCCUGUAACAUAUUAUAAUCAAGCUCUCAAAGAUUAAUAACAAAGAGGAUUCUCAAAGCAACACAAGAAAACAAAGCAAAAUGCAUAAGGAUUUUCCAAUUUACCUGAAAAAAAGUUUUCUUAGCAAAAACCUCAGGCCAUGAGGGAGUGUCAUGAGAUUUAUAUAGUGAUGAAGGAAAAGUUGGCUAAUCAAGAAUACAAUACCCAGCAAAGCUAUCCUUUGGGAAUGAAAAAGUGAUACAAAUGUUUUCAGGCAAACAAAAACUGAGAUUUUUUUUUAUUACCAUGAGAAUUGUCCUAUAUGAAAUGCUAAAGGGAGUUCUUCAAACUGAAAGAGAUACGAAUAAGUAUAAAGAAAACAUCAGAGGGUAUAAAACUCACUGGUAAAUGUGACUAUUCAGACAAAUUCAGAAUGCUCUUAUACUGUAAACAGUGUCCAAACAGUUUAUAUCUUUAAUCUGAAAAGUAAAACAUAGAAAUUAAAAUAAUGAUUACAACAACAUAGUUAAAAUAUAGGUGAUUAAAAGAUGAAAAAUGAGACAUCAAAAUUAAAAACAUAUUGAAGUAAAGGGGUAAAAGUAUAGUUUUUUAAUUAAUAUUUUUCUAUUCCUUUUUUGUUUUAUUGUCUCUAUGAUCAAUGUUAAGUUACUAUAAUUUCAUAAUAACUUGUUAUAAUCAAAAGAUGUAUUUUUGUAAGUUUCAUGGUAGCCACAAAACACAAAUUUAUAACCAGUACACCCCAAAUAAGCAAGGAAUCAAAACACACUACUAGAAAACAAAAUCACCUAACUAUAAAAUAGACUGUUAAGGGGGGAAGGAAUUAUAAUUUUUUAAAAAAGUAACAAAAUAGUGUAAGACCAUACCUACUGAUAAUUAUCUUAAAUGUAAAUGAAUUAAGUUAUUCAAUUGAAAGACAUAGUGACUGAAUGGAUUAAAAAAAAAGAAAAACAGAUCCAACUAUAUGCUCCUUAUAAGAAACUCAUUGCAUGUUUAAGAACAUACAAAGACUAAAAGUGAAGUGUUGAAAAAAAAAAAUCUAUGCAUAUGGAACCCAAAAGAAAGCAGGAAUUUCCAUAAUUUUAAUAGGUAACGUAGACUUUAAAUUAAAACACAUAAAAACACAAGAAAAGUCAAUUUGUAAUGAUAAGGGGGUCAAUUCAUCAAGAGGAAAUAAAAAUUUUUAAUAUAUGGGCACACAAUUUUGGAGCAGCUAAAUAUCUGAAGGACUAUUAAUAGACUUACAGGGAAAGAAAAAAAAUGAAAACAUAACAUUCUAAACUUAUAGCAUGAAUCAAAAGCAGUAGUAAGAAUCCAGUCAUUACUAUCCAUGUCUACAUCAAAAAAGCAUGAAGAUCUUAAACAACUUAUCACAGUACCUCAAGGAACUAGAAAAACAAGAACAAAUGAGACCUCAAAUUAGUAGAAGGGAAGAAGAAAUAAAAAUCAGAACAGAAACAAAUAAAAUGGAGACUGAAAGAAACAUUCAAAGAUUGAUGAAACAAAGAGGUAGAUUUUUGAAAGGAUAAGCAACAUUGACAAACCCUUAGCAUGACUAAGAAAAAAGAGAGAAGACUCAAAUAAAAUCACAGGUGAAAAAGAAGGCAUUACAAUCAACACCCCAGGCAUAUACAGGAUCAUUAGAGACUAUUAUAAACCAUUACAUGCCAAAAAAUUUAAUAACCUAUAAGAAAUGGACACAUACACCUUAUAAACACUGAAUCAUGAAGAAGCAAAAAAUCCGGCAUUGAGGAUGUAGCUCAGUGGUAGAGCACAUGAGCAGCAUGUGGCAGGCCCGGGGUUCAACCUCCAGCAACAAUAAGAAAAACAGAAAAAGAAUAAAAAUUUAAAGAACAGAUCAAGGGGCUGGGGUUGUGGCUCAGCAGUAGAGCACUAGCCUAGCAUGUGUGCACCCUGGGUUCGAUCCUCAGCACCACAUAAAAAUAAAUAAGGAUAUUGUGUCCAACUACAACUAAAAAAAUAUAAAUAUUUUUAAAAAAUAAAAAACAGAUCAAGAAUGAGCAAUAAAAUCAAAUCAGUACUAAAACAUCUUCCAUCAAAGAAAAGCCCAGAGCAAGAUGGCUUCACUGCUAAACUCUACCAAAUGUUUAAAGAAUAAUAAAUAGUAACUCUUCUUAAAUUAUUUUGAAAAAUUGAAGAGGAGGGAAUUUUACCAAACUCAUCCAAUGAGGCCAGCAUUAUACCAAAUCCAAUGAGAUGACAAGUAUAGCAGCAAAAUAAAAGCUUCAGGUUAAUUUCUUGAUGAACAUUCAUGCAAAAGACCUCAACAAAAUACUAGCAAACCAAGUCAGGCAGAGUCCCAGAUGGAAAUUUUCCUCUUCAGAAAACUAAAGAGUCAGACUCAAGGCCACAAGUUUAAAUUCAAUUCACAUCAUGCAAAAGGCCUCAACAAAAUACUAGCAGACAUCAUGGUCAACUGGGAUUCAGCCCACAUGAUGAUGGUUCAGCACAUACACAAGUCAACCAACGUGACAACAACAGAAGAAAGGUUUCAACCACAUGGUCAUCCCAAUAGACAUAGAAAGGCAUUUCAUAAAACUUAAAAUAUUUUCAUGAUAAAUACUCUCAACAAUUUAGGCCUAGAAGGAACACACCUCAACAUAAUAAAGGCCAUAGAUAAUAAUCCUACAACUAACAUUAUUCUGAAUAAGGAAAAUCAAAAGGCUUUCUUUCUAAAAUCUUGAACUAGAAAAGGGGGCCCAUUUUCACUACUUUUAUUCAACUUAAUACUGAAAGUCUUAGUUUGAGCAGUCAGGCAAAAAAAAAAAAUCAAUCAAGAAAUAAAAAUAAAGUGCAUCUAAAGUGGAAAGAGGGGAAGUCAAAUUGUCACUGUUUAAUAUAUAAGAUCUUAUUUUACAUAUUAAAAAGAAAAAAAAAUUCCACCAGGAAACUACUAGAACUAAUAAAUAAGCUAACAAAUAAACAUGUGGUAUAAAAAGUUAACAUACAAAAAUCAGUAGUGUUAUUGUAUGCCAAUUAUAAGCCAAUAGUGAAUUGUCUAAAAAGGAAUUAAGAAGGCAAUUCAAUUGAAAAUAUUACAAAAGUAAAUGGCAUUAAAUUUAACCAGACGGGAGAAAGAAAAUCUCUGGUAAAAAAACCAUAAAACACUGGUGAAAUGAAUUGAGGACACACACACACGCACACACACACACAGGAAAGACAUCUUGAAAUCAUGGAUUGGGAUAAUCAACAUUACUAGAAUGUCCAUACUACCCAAAGUGAUCUAAAGAUUUAAUGCAAUCCCUAUCAAUACUAAUGGCAUCCUUCACAGAACCAGAAAAAAGAACCCUAAAAUUCAUUUGGAACUACAAAACUCCCCAAAUAGUCAAAGCAAUCUUGAGCAAAGAGAACAACACAGGAGACGUUACAUUACCUGAUUUCAAAGUAUACUACAAAGCUAUUGUAAUCAAAACAGGGUGGUAUUGGCAUAAGAAUGGAUACAUAGACCAAUGAAAAAAUAGAGAGCCUAUGAAUAAGCCCAUAAAUCUUCUAUCAGUUAAUCAUCCAGGUGCUAGGAGCACACACAGUGGAGAAAGGAGAGUCUCUUUGCUAAAAGGUGCUAGAAAAAUUGUGUAUUCACAUGCAGAAAAAUGAAACUAGAUCCAUAAAUAAAAUAUCAAUGCAGAACAUAUUAAAUACUGAGAACUUACUAGAAGAUAAUAUAGGUGGGAUGCUUCAGGACCUUGCAUUGGGUAGGUGUUGUUGUUUUUGGUAAGAACCAAAUGCACAGGAAACAAAAGCAAAUACAGACAAAUGGAAUUAUGAUAAUCUAUAAAGCUUCUAUACAGCAAAGAAAACAUACAACAAUGAGAUAAACUACAGAAUGGGAGAAAAUAUUUUCAAACUAUCCAUCACUUUCUUUUGCGCGUGUGUGUGGCAUCAGGGAUUAAACUCAGGGUCACUUAACCAUUGAGCCACAUCCCUAGCCCUAUUUUGUAUUUUAUUUAGAGACAGGGUCUCACUGAGUUGUUUAGUGCCUCACUGUUGCUAAGGCUGGCUUUGAACUGGAGAUCUUCUGUCUCAUCCUCCUGAGCUGCUGGGAUUACAGGUGUGCACCACCAUGCCCAGCCCAAACUAUACAUCUUACAAGGGCUUAAUAUCCAGAAUAUGCAAAGAACCCAAAAGACUCAGUAGUAAAAGAAAGAUUAAUCUGAUUAAAAUAUGGACAAUUGACCUAAGUAGAUAUUUCUAAAAAGAUGAAAUAAAAAUGGACAACAAGGUUAUGCAAAAUGCUCAACAUCACUCAUCAUCAGGGAAAUGCAAAUCAAAAUCACAAUGAGACAUCACCUCCCUCCAGUUAGAAUGUUAUUAUCAAAAAGAAACAAAGUGAAGAAGUGCCAGCCAGGUUGUGGGGGAGGGGAACUCACAUGGGCUAUUAGUGGGAAUGUAAAUUAGUACAGUCAUCAUGGGAAAGAGUACAGAGAUUCUUCAAAAGAUCAAAAACAGACCUACCAUGUGAUUCAGCAAUCCCACUCCUGGGUUUAUAUCCAAAGGAAAUGAAACCAGUGUUGAAGAGACAUCUGCAGUCAAGUCUUUACAGCAGCAAUAUUCAAAAUAGCCAUGAAAUUAAAAAAACAAAACUUAAAUGUCCAUCAACUAAUGAAUGGAUAAAGAAAACACGAUGCAUAUACUCAGUGGAAUACUAGUCAGCCAUAAAAAGAAUGAAGUCAUUUGCAUCAACAUGAAGGGACUGGAGGACACGAUGCUAAAUGAAAUGGGCAGGGCACAGAAAGACAAGUACUGCAUAAUCUCACACAUAUGUAAAACCUAAAAAUAUUGAUUUCACAGAAGUUCAGAGUAGAAGAGUGGUUACCAGAGGCUGGUGAGACAGAAAGGUGGGAGGGAUGGGGAGAUGGUGAUUAACAGGUACUAGGUUAUAGUUAGACUGGAGAAAUAAUUUCCGGCUUUGUAUUGCAUAGUAGGGUGUCUGUAGGUAACAAUAACGUACAAUGUAUCUCAAAAUAGCUAGAAGAAAAGAUUUUGAAUAUUUUUGCACAAAGAAAUAAUAAAUGUUUGAGCAUUUGAACACUGUUCAAUGUAUACAUGGAUUAAAACAUCACACUGUACUCCAUAAAUAUGCAUGUGUGUAUUUUUUUUUUAGUGCUGGGGCAGACCCAGGGCCUUGUGCAUGCUUAACAUGUGCUUUACUACGAAUGACAUCCCCAGACCAAUAUAUAUUAUUUUUAUAGGUCAAUGAAAGAAACUGAAAACAAAAACACAAAUCCCCAACAAGUGUGCAAGAUCCUUCCCAUUCUCACCAGAAUUAGCAUUUCCUUCCUUGUUCCCUUGAAUUCUUUAAAAAUCACAAUAUAUUGUAAUUAUCCACUUACACGUUCCUUUCCUUAGGGAGAGCUUAAGAGCUUUUUGAGGGCAAGAAAUAACUCCCUCUAUACAUCAAACAUUCGGAUCAUUGCCUGUCAAAGUUGUCGUGAAAUGUUUUUUUGGAUGAAUUUUCAAUGGCAAAGAGAAUUCAUUAUGGUUUAAAACUAAUCUUUCUCUCUUUUGAAAUUUUUAUUCUGGACCACCCUCCGAUGACAGUUGGAGCUGAUUUGAUUUGGUAUUGUUCAAUUUUUUUUCCCUGUCCCAGAAGGUUGCAAUCAUAUCCUGCAAAAAGGGACAAGCAAACUCAGCUCUGUCCUCUCGUUAUAUGGGCUCUUUGACACUCUUUUUUCAAAUGACAGGGUUCAGCGAGUUCUCAACCAUAUCCAGCAAUGGCACUUCCCCUGCCGCAUUUCGAAGCCAACAUGGGAAAGACAAUCUGUCUGUUUUUGGUUGGUUAACACUUAACUCGUCAAAAAUAUGUUUUGUAACACGUAGUCCAUGUCCAAGAGGUCUUGCAAGAUUUCCAAAGCUUUUCCCACACUCUUUUUCUUCUCACCCUCAAAAAAAGAAACAGUGUUUUGCCAAAAACAAAUUAUCCCAAUUCUCAAAAAGGACUGCUCUUGCAUAGGAAUCUUUAAGCCACAAGAGUUCAUGUUAGGCCUGAUCUUGGCCAAUACUGCCUGCCAAGCAGUCUGAAUGUAUCUGAUUUGCCUCCUGCACUACCACCUCCUCUUAACCCUCAAGGAUGCUGGCCUUGACUCAGAGGGGCCUGGGGAUGGCCUGCCCUGGGGGGAGAGUGGAUCUGGGAAAUGCUUGGGAUUUAUACACCAAGAUGCUCCCCGAAAACUCACUGAGGUCAGAUGCUCUGUGUUCAACCAAAGACCAGGAAAAGAUUCUUUUAUUUUUUAAGGAAAAUGAGGACCUGACUGGACUUGACCUCAGUUUUUACUUUGUCACCAGGCUGAACUAGACAAAGAAAAAGAAAGCAGGCAAAAUUCCACAAUAAAAAGCUUUCACUUUAUUAACAAUUCAGGCAAUUUCAUGUAAAUUCUGAGAGAUGGAGUUCUUUUUGCUCAAGUAAUGAAAUGGCUUUAAAAUGUUUUUGUAGAAAGAGAAUAAAAAAGGAUAUAAAAUUGGGUGUAAGGAGGAAUAAAAGACACACACACACACACACACAAAGUUGAAAAUGUGUGUAAUUUGUAUAAGUCCAAACAAUGUCUUAAGAAAUAUCUCAAAUAUGGGGCUGGGGUUGUGGCUCAGUGGUAGAGCACUUGCCAGUGAGGCACUGGGUUUGAUCCUCGGCCCCACAUAAAAAUAAAAUAAAGGUUAUUGUAUCCACUUAAAAGUAAAAGCAAAUAUUAAAAUAAAUAAAUAUCUCAAAUGUGUGUAUGUGUGUGUGUAUAUGUGUGUGUGUGUGUGUGUGUGUGUGUGUGUAUAUAUAUAUAUAUAUAUAUAUAUAUAUAUAUAUAUAUAUAUAAUUUUGGGGGUGGUGGUGAUGGGAUUGAACUCAGGGGCACUCAACCACUGAGCCACAUCCCCAGACCUAUUAUGUAUUUUAUUUAGAGACAGGGUCUCACUGAGUUGCUUAGCACCUUGCUUUUGCUGAGGCUGGCUUUGAACUUGUGAUCCUCCUGUCUCAGCCUCCCAAGCCACUGGGAUUACAGGUGUGUGCCACUAAGCCCAGCUGCAAAUAUAUUUUAACUAUUACAAUCAGGAUUCCGAAUGUCUCUUUUCCCCUGAGGAAGGUCAAGCUGAGGGAAAUAUAAAGCAUCUUUGCCAUUCUUUCCCACUAUGCUAAACUCACUGACACCACCAGAGCACCUUUUCUGGAAUAUUCCAAGAGCCUCCUGGAAUCCCAUCUCUGCUUACUGAGAGUCAUCAUAGCUACUAGUGUAAGAAAAUUUUCUCUCAAAUGCAGAACUGGUCAGAGUGAAUGUUCACAAAACCUUUAGUAGCACCUCACUUAAAAUGUUUUACUGGACUCUUAAAGGUCAUCAUGAGCAGCUACAUCUCACAGAGCAGCCUGUAUGUAGUCAACCUCCACUCCUGUCGAUCCAAGAUAAGGGAGAUAAUUUAUAUGCAAGAUUAUUAACAAGUUGAGUUAAUACUACUAAAGUCAUAAAGAAAGGAAUAGAACUAUAAUCUUAAAACUGGACAUUAAGAAAUAAGGAUAUUUAUAGAACCAGAAAUGAAAAGUAAAGCCAUUGAAAUGAGCCUAUAAACAGGCUAAAUGACAGAAACUGCUGAAUUAAUAAUUAAAAAGCAGAGCAGGGGAACCAGCCCAGAAAGCAUCUCAGAGAUGAAGAAAUGGGAUGUUACAAGGUAUGGGAAAGAGAAAACUCAGCAUCCAUCUCAUGAGAAUUCUCAAAGUAAAACAGUAUUUGCGGGGAGAAAAUUUGAAAAGACUAUGACCGAUAAAUGCUCAGCAUUGAAGGAAUUUGCAAACACAGAGUCUAAAGAACCACAGCUUCAAGAAUGUAAACCCAGGUAAAUUAAGAAGAAAAAAAAAAAAUAUAUAUAUAUAUACAUAUAAUUAUACGUAGAAAACCAAACCGAAAAAUCCUAACAAUCAGAGAGAGAAGUCAUAAGCUAGAAAAGAAGAAAACUUGGAUUAACAGAAAUCUGUGCAUCAGAAAAAUGUAACAAAUUAAUAGGAACAUAUCUUUCUAAUGGGGAGAGAAAAUCUGUCAUUUUAGAAUUCUAUACAUAGAGAUACUAGAAUUCAAUGUGACAGAGAAAUAAAGAUAUUUUUGGAUAAGACUGAGAGAAUUUACUACUCACAGCCUAUUCACUUCUUUAAGAAGUGAAUUUAAUUCAAAAGAACAACUGAGGUUUACAGAUGAACUGAAAUGAUAUUUUAGAAGCAGAAUCCAUAAUUCCAUAAAGAGGAAAAGUCCAUUAGAGAGGAGACUGUAGAUUCCCCUACUCUUGAGUGAAUUUAUUAGAUGUGCUGGCCUCAAUUUUUUAUUAUCAUUGUUUCAGCAUUUUAUUAAUCCUGAUCAGAUCUAAGUGGAUAUUUAUUUGUCCCUUUGAUAUAAUCUUACUGAUUUUAGCAGUUAGAUUCCUCCAAUAAAAUUUUGGAAUUUAAUGAAAACAGGAUAUUUUGUGUCAAGGUAGACCUGGAGGGACUGAUUACAUUCUGAAAAAUGUCUUAGCAGAAUCCAUUUAUGGCAAAAUUCUGGUUCUUUAUUUUCAUUUGUAUAUCCUAAAUUUGUAAUCUCCUUGUAAGUUUUGCAAGGAUUAUUUUAGGGAUCAUUUUGUUAUUAACAGGCUGUAGAGACAGCAUGAAUAAGCAGAGCUAUUUUAAAUCUUCAUGUCCUGGCAAGUUUUUUAACUUCUAUGAACCACAGUUCACCUCAUCUGGAAAACGGAGUUAAUGAUCAUUUCCUCUCUGAGUUAUGAUGAUGAUUAAGGGCACUAUUGUAAAUGUACUUCUUCCCAGCUACAUGCCCUAUGAGAAAAGAUAGUACUGCCCUCCAGGCUGACACAAGAGUAUCAGAAAUGGAGCCUGAUGCUCAUCUGAGUGUAUGGAAUCUCCCCUGUUCUCACUCAACAACUCUGACCCAAACAUAAACCUGAUAUUUCACAUGAAGAUUGUGUCCCAAUCCACUUCCUUUACCUUCUAUGAAAUCUAAAAUGUAAGAUGUGGUCACAGAAUAUACCAGAAGGUAAACAUCCUCUGGAGUGAGUGUUGUCAGACAAUUUCUGGUUAGGGACAUCAUUUGUCCUAACCUGAAUUUCCCAUCCCCUUGAGUGUAUCAUAAAAGUGUGGCUUUACUUUUUCUGGUCAGUAAGUUUCCCCCCAGGGUCUGUGACUCAUAGAAAUAGCAUACAUGCUUUUCUCAUGGGAAUUAAUGUUCACUCACUGCUCUCAGUUAUACUUUGCUUAACUUAAUAGUGAAUGUAAGGAUUUUAGUUUUCUGAACAGAAGCAAGCUACAUAACCAUUUUAGUUUGGAAGAAAUUCUCCUAAACUAUCAUCUUGCUUUGCAAUUCUCUGUACCAUGGAAAAACCAUUUGGAAUCCCCUAAUUUUCAGUCCUGUAGAGUGAUAUAUAAAUGGGAGUAGGGUGGUCCAUUAGCUAUAUAUCUAACACUAGUUAGACAACACGGUUCAAUUCCUAUUUAUUUAGCAGCAUCCAAAGUCCUCUAAGAAAGAGAUGAAGUGCAUUGUUACCUGGGGAUCCAUCAAUGAAUAGACAUAUCUCUUGAUGAUCAAGAUUUUAGAGUGACCCAAAGAUCACCCUUUCACUCUUGCAAUGCGCAUGAGGGUCUUAUAUCUCUGCAUCUGCAGUCAUCAUGAUGAAAAAGAGCAACAAACGUCAUGCACUGAUUAAUGGGACUGACUGACUCCAGCAAUACAAAGAUAUAUUCUGUGAAGCAUGGAGUGGAAAGUGUAGGUUAAAAAAAAAAUGUCUGGCAGCUUGGGACUUGAAGAAAUAGUGUCGGGGAGAAGGCCAGUGGCCUGGGUCUGGUAACGUGCAGUCAAAGCAUGGGCAAAGAAGAAAUGCAUUAAAGCCUUAGGAUUAUAGCAAGAAGGGAUUUGGGGUGUUAUCUAUUCCUACAUUUCAUAAGAGGUAGCAUCUAGUCCCACCAGAUACUCAAUGAUAUAAAAUAAAUCUCUCAUCAGUUUGGGAAAUAACAGAAAACUACAUUCCCCUGGAAAAAUACAUAUUAGCAAGUUAGAAAUCAAAGCAUUUAGGCAAUCUUAGGGUAAAGGCACAUGUUACCUGGAACUCUCUCGAAACAUUUGACCGUUGACUACUGCUUACCAUCGAACAGAUCAAAUGUUCUAGAGAGUUCAUUUUGGGAAUCAAAGUUCUAGUCUCAGCUUUACAUAUCACUGAGUUAACUGAGGCUCCCAAGAGCUAAAUGACUUACUUAAGAAGAGAGACAGAGCUAAAAGACCUUACUCCUGAUAUCAAUGUACAUUAUAAAGUACCCCUUAUCACUGUAAAAAUCAAAAAUACAUAAUUAUUACCAAUAAAAUUAUAUCUAUGUGGUUAUAUAAUUAUUAUUAUUUGCUCACCAAAGCAUUAACCACAUACACUUGAAAAAAAUAUUCUACAAAGAAAGAAUUUUUAAAAUUAUUAUUUUUAUUCAUUUAUUUUUAUGUGGUGCUGAGGAUUGAACCCAGGGCUUCACACAUGUGAGGCAAGCACUCUAUCCCUGAGCUACAACCCCAGCCCAAAAAAUAAAAAUUUUUUUGUUUAGAGAGAGAGAGAGAGAAUUUUUCAAUAUUUAUUUUUUUUAGUUCUCAGCGGACACAAUAUCUUUAUUUUUUAUUUUUAUGUGGUGUUGAGGAUCGAACCCAGCGCCCCGCACAUGUCAGGCGAGCACGCUACCGCUUGAGCCACAUCUCCAGUCCCCCAAAUAAUUUUUUUAAAACUAACUUUCAGUCAAGUAGGAUCUACCAUUCCAGCAUGAUUCUUAGAAUCCUAGUCCUACAAGAUGCUCAAUAAGAAAAAUCUCUAAUCAGUAUUUGGAAAAUACAGAAAAUUGCAUUACCCUGGAAUGAAAUUUAUUAGUAAGUUUGAGUUAAAAAUAUUUGGGAAAUCUGUAUAUUGAAGUUAUAGUAUACAACAGUUUUCAUCCUAAUAAUUUUUUAGCAUAUAUAUAUUAUAUAUAUAGUCCCAUUUGUUGACUGGUGAUAAAACAAUUAAUAAUAAAUAAGCCUGAUGUUCCAAGCUCUGUGAGAAGGGCUUUGUAUGUAUUUUCUCAGUUAAUUCUAAUAGUUCUAUAAAUUAAUUAGUAUUAUCCUCCCAUUAAAUCUGAAGGAACUGAGAUGCAAGGAAGGAGGUGGACCCAAACCACAGAAUUUGUAGGUGAGAGAAUUGAGUUUUCUGACCCAGGUCUAGAUGACCCCGAUGCUUAUAAUCUUAACCACCAUGUUUUCAUAAUAUUCAGGAAGCUUGUGGAUUUAAAAGAUUCCACACUGACAUCUCAAAGUGUUCCAAAUCAUCGACCCUGUUAGGGAAAGCAAGUGAUUCCACGGCUGAGGAAUUCAUACUAAGGCCAUGACAACAUGUUGAGCAAGUCUCCAGCCUGAUAUUUAUUCUACAAAGACCUCUAUAAAUCAUGAAGCCUUAAGAAAGAGACGGGAUUUUGUAUGGUCAGCUUUGAAAUAGAUCACAGAGGCCAGAGUCACAUUGUCAGGUUAGAUCUGUGACUUAUGACUGCUUUGUCAUCACUUGAGCCACUGGGUGACACAGGCAGACCAUCAGAGAGCACCCCAAGCAGGACAAUGUGGGACCCACAUGCACAUACACAGGCAUGCUGUUCUUUGCCUUCCCAUGUCUUGGUGACCUCUGAUGGAAUGCUGUGGGAAAACAUUCAAUUCCUGAAGUUCCACUGACUAUGGAGACAAAGAUAUUUGAACUAACUCUGGCUGAGAAACCAUAAUUCAGCAUGCCAUAAUUGUACUUGUAAAUUUUGCUUUGUUUUCUUUAAUUUCCUUCUAACUGAAGUUGUCUCAGAAUAUUGGAGAGCUAUCUCCCUUCCUGCAUGUAGAAUUUAUUAGCUAUGAAAAUGAUUUUUCAUGUUUUAGGGUAAAAAACAUAAGGAAGACUUAUCUGGUAGCUAGAAAAUCUUCUAUUUGCAGUGUUCUCCAUCCUAAAGCCAUGUUCACAACUAUUCGAUUUUGUCCUCACAAGAGGCUUUGGAAGGUGCUUACAAAUGGGUAGGCAGAUUCUUUGCCAUUCUGGAGUGUGUAUCUACGGACCCUGAAAUAAUAAACAGAUGAGUAAUUAAACAAUACUGAAGAAUCUUAAGUACCAUUCAGAGAAAUAGGUGGCUGUGAGACAGAGGAUUUGGGGAGCUAUUUUAGAUGGGGUGGGAAAGAAAGCCAUUUCUAAGCAGGGGACAUUUUUAUCUGAGACCUGAAUGAUAGAAGCUAUCUCUGUAAGGACUGUGGGGAAACAGAGUUCAUAGAUAAUAGAAUGGAGACUCGGAGCUUUAGUCACUCCAAGGUCAUAGAGUUAGUCCACAGGGAACUUGACUUCAGUCUUAAAUUUCAGAGUCUAAGACCCAUGCUAUUUCUCUCCAUUAUAUACUUCCACUUGUGGAUAUGGUGGAUUAUGUAAAUAAUGCUGUGCUCUGCUUUUGUACCCUGGGAGCUAGGUUAAAUCAUAGAAGUGGUACCUUGGAAAAUUUACUACUUAACAUGUUAAUUUUGAAAUCACUUCUAAAUAAAUGAGAAAGUUGUAGUUUAAACUUUUAAGCAAUUUGUAUCUAAUCACAAAUGAAUGAUUUCCUGGUCAAGAGGAAUUCAUAACAAGACAAAUAAAAGAAUUUCCUUUCUCUUUUUUGUUAAAUGUUAUACGCAUUUAACAAAAUCUCUUGGUACUUGGAUAAUUACAAAAAUAUCUUUUCCUUUCACCCUCUUAUUCCAGGCAGCAAAAGGCACAUGUCAUAACAGCCCCUGAGAGUCUUCCUGUUUCCUGAGAUUGACAAUUUCUAGUUCCCUCUCCAUUGCUGGAUGAGUCAAAGCAUUUGAGCAUCUCUCUUUCCCUCUCUCUUUUUUCCCCUCUUUUUCUGGUACAGGGGAUUGAACUCAGGCACACUCAACCACUGAGCCACAUCCCCAGCCCUAUUUUGCAUUUUAUUUACAGACAGGGUCUCACUGAGUUGCUUAGUGCCUCACUGUUGCUGAGGCUGGCUUUGAACUUGCGAUCUUCCUGCUCAGCCUCCUGAGCUGCUGGGAUUACAGACAUGUGCCACCAUGCCUGGUGCACGCUCUCUCUUUCUCUCUCUGUCUCUCUCUGUCUCUCUCUUUUGCAAGUGUACAAACAGUAUUACAAGGGCAGGCUUUUGGUGGAAUAAUGUCAUUAAUGCAGCUUGAAAAAAUACCUUAGAUGAUUAAGGAGUAUUGUUAAAAAAAAAGUGUUGACAAAAAUGCCUUCCAGAAAUGGAUUGAAUUAAAAUCCAGGAAGAUAUAUAUAUAUAUAUAAUGUACAUAUACAUAUUUUAACUAGAAUUCUUAAAAGGUCAUCGUCAUUCUUUGUAGGAAAAGAGCCAAUUAACAUAUACGCAUUUAACAAAAUCUCUUGGUACUUGGAUAAUUACAAAAAUAUCCUGCCAAAAAUCCCUGACUAACGAUAGUCAUCAUGGGCCAAAAAUGUUUUAAUUUAUUUCUAUUGAUAUAUAAAUCAUAUGCCUUACAAUUAACCAUUUCAAAGUGUAUAUACUUCAGUGGUUUUUUUGUGUGUUCCCAAGGCUGUGCAACUGUCACAAUUAUCUAUUUCUAGAACAUUCUUAUCAUCCCCCCAAAGAAAUUCUACCCCCAUUACCAGUGUCCUCAUUCCCUCCUUUCAUCAGCCCCUGACAAAUGCUAAUCUACUUUCUUUCCAGGUUGAUUUAGAAAUUCUGAGCAUUUUGAAUAAAUGAAAUUACACAACAUGUGGCCUUUUGAGUCUGGCAUCGUUUUCUGUUUACUGAGCAUGAUGUUUUCAAUAUUCAUACAUGUUAGAGCACACACAGUACUUCCUCCCUUUUCAUGGAUGAGUAAUAUUCCACAGGGAUGAUGCACCAUGUUGUUUAUCCCUUCAACAGUUGAUGGGUUAUUUUCAUUUUUGGUAAGUAAAGAAUAAUGCUGUUGUGAACAUUUGUAUAUACAAAUUUGUGUGGACCAUAUGGUUUCAUUUCUAUUUGGUUUAUACCAAGGAAUGAAAUUGCUAUGCUAAAUGGUAAGUCUCUCACUUUUUGAAGAAGUACCAUACCAUUUUGUGCAGCCCUUGUACCAUUUCACAUGCCUGUUAAUGAGGACUCCCAAAUUUUUCCAUAUCCCUCCUAACACUUAUUAGUUUCUCUUUUUGUUUGUUUAUUGGCUUUUAAUUACAACCAUCUUCGUGGGUUUGACUCACAUUUUCCUAAUGAUGAAUGAUGACACAUCUUUGCUUAUUGGCCAUUCCCGCAUCUUCACUGGAGAAAAUGUCUAUUCUGGUCUUUGGCUCACUUUUAAAACGUGUUAGUUCAUAUUUAUUUUUCAACUGUAAACAUUCUUUGUAUAUUAUGGAUGUUAGACCCUUAUCAGAUAUAUUUGGCAAAUAUUUUCCCUAGUUCUGGGGGCGGUUAGUUCAUUUUCUGUCUCAACACCGUGCCCGCACCCGUCUUUAUCAGAUGAUAGCAUUCUUCUUUUUUUCUUCCAUCUAUGAGUUUCUAGCUGGUCAACCUUCAUGCCUUUCCCUGUCUCCUAUCUCCGCACCCAUCAGGAUGUCAUAUGACCCACAUUUGGUCAAUUCUAAUCCAUUGUUGGAAUCUUUCAUAGAGGUUGGAGGUUAAAGAUCUUUUUUCCUGCUGCCAAACCUGCGAGAAGGUAACAGCUAAACUGUGUUCUUCGUAUUCCCUUCCUUGCAAAGUGCCCUUUGGUAGUUGGAGAGAGUGAAGUUAACAAGCAGAGAAGUAAAGCUCAUAGAGACAGAGUGUGUCAAGACACACUUUUUCCCCUUUGCUAACCAGCUCUUCCCUUGCCUUUCUUUGUUAUGUAAGCCAAUAAUGUUCUUUUUAGGCUUGAUUGGAAUUAGAUUUCUGUCACUCAGACUUCCUGACUAAUGCAGCCAGUAUAUGCCUUAUCAAAGACAUUGCCAGUAAGUCUUGCACAGGGAGCGUUUGUAAUAGUCUGUGGGAAGCAAUGCAAGAGAAAUAUAACAACUGGAUCAAAUUUGGGAAAACACAGACUAACACCUCUUGACAAACAGGAGAAAAAUGUUUGAGUUUAUGGGAAAGAGUUUUGGAGGGGAAAGAGUCAUGGCAAAGUAGUUGUUAUGAAUGGUAGAUGACAAUGAAUCACAACAUAAGAAUCGAUGAUCUGAAAUAACAAGUAAAAUGGCCUCUGAGGUAUGGAAUAGAUGAUAGUCGAAGGUAUGGUGAGUCAGACGGCAUUCAGAUGAAGCCCACUUUUCAGAGCUCAUUAUGGAUAGAGACGAGCUGUCAGAACCAGCUGGCUUGUGACGCGGAGGAACAUGACUGGCUUUUCCCUGUUUCCCCUUUUGGGUCACCUUUUUAUACCUUUCUCUGUUUUUUCCCCAUCCUUCCUUAGCAGUCUAUCUUUUGAUUCUUGUAGAUUGUGUAGAUAUUGGAGAUCUUUAUGAGGAUGAUUAGGAAUUUUAAACCCCAAAGAGCAUCAUUUGUAAGUUACCUACACAGCGAGUUCUGCCUUGGUUCUAGUCUCUUGCUAUGACUUGAGAACCGUUCCUGACCUACAUAGCCUAGAAGCCCAUUACAGUCCCCCCCACAGCUAAUUUUUCUCUUUGAGGCAUAGGGAGGUACAAGGAGAAUUUUAAUCAAUGACUUUGGAUUUUUAAGUAGGUAAGUAAAUCAAAGAACAAGGAAGAGAAAAAAUGUAAAACACUAGUUGUUAAGCUGUUAUAUUUUAACUUGCAAAUGACUUUAGAUUCUAGGGCCUGCAAAAACUAAAAUAAAUCUUAUGGAAGUGUUAAGUAUCUUGUAAUGCUCUUUGCAUAAUCUGUGUUUCUGAACUGACCUUUGUUCCAAUCUUGGAAGAACUCUUCAUCAUCUCUCCUUCAUCCAAAGUGUUCCAGAGUCUGUGGAACUUUAGUGGUUUUUGAGAAAGGGUCAGAUGGACCAUAUUCAUGUUUCCUAUCAUGGUGCAUUAGUUAUCUCCUGCUAUGUAAGAAAUUUCUCCCUCUUCCCCAAGUAUAUGAUUUAGAACAUCAAGCUUUUAUUAUCUCACAGAAUUUGGGUGUUGCUUAGCUAGGUGAUUCUAGCUCAGGGUUUCUCAAGGUGGAAAUCAAGAUAUCUUUUAGGACUGCAAGCAUCUGAAGACUUCAGUUAGGCUGGAGGAUUUGCCUCCAGACUCACCUAUGUGACUGUUGUCAGGAGGCCUCAGCUCCUCAUGUAAGAUGAUCUGUUGGUCAGGUGGGGUGUUAUUACAAUAUGGCAGCUGGUUCCCACUGAGUGAAUGAAUGCUUCAAAAGAGAGAGAAAGCAAGAUAAAAGCUGAAAUAUCUUAUAGUUUGUCAGCAGAAGACAUACUGUUUUAUUUCUGCCACUUUCUGUAAGUUAACAUAAGCUCACAUCAUGUAAGGGGGAAAGGGAAUUAUAGAAAUUGGUGGAAAUACUUGAAGAAAUACCAGAGGUAAUAUACACCAAUGGUAGUUAUAAUGCAAAUACAAAGAUGGCAAAUAACAUUAAUUUAGUAGAAUAAAAACAUAAAAGGAUAAUAGUCUUUGAUUAGCAGAAUGAGCCAGCAAAUGGAAAUGAGAGAGCAGUUGCAUCCUUAAUUGUUUAUAGACUACAGAGAAGAUUCAGUCUACACAAACUAUCUUAAAGCUUCUUUGCCCAAUCACUUUAAUUAUUUCAUUGACAUAAUAUAUGUGCAUGUUUGAAAUAAUUAAGCAGUUCUAAACUACAUCAAUAAAAUAUUGAUCCCAGUCCAGAGCCUUACCAGCCAGUAGUCAUGCAUGCUGGAGGCAAGCAUUUUAAUUCUGGUGCUGAUUCCUAAUAUAAAUUAAUUAUAAAUAAUGAAGCUUCAAUAUUAUUUAUUGGUUUAUAAAUUUGAGAUAUUUUUUAUUGAUUAAUUAUUACCACACUUGAGGAUUUAGGCUCUUACCUGUCACCAAUACAUUAUUCCUCUAUUCUUCUCAUGUAGCGCAAAGACUUUUACCAACAUAAUCAUGACGGGUGGUUGAUCAUUUAAAUAAAAAAGUGAAUUAAAGCAAGUAAUCAUAAAAAUUACAUAUAAAAUUUCCUGUUUAUUUUAUCUUAACAUAAAGCAUAUGAUCUUUUGAAGUAGGGCCAAGAACCUCUCCUUGAGUAUGAACCUUGCAAAGAACAAACCCAGAACACAUCUUUAAUGAUUGAGUUGCAGUUUUGGUUUCUUUAAAGUGGGAUAAGAAAUUAAAAACAUUUGUAAGGCCAACUGAGUAUGGAAUGCCUCUAGAGUCUGAAUUUUUCUCUCCAGUCGUUAAUAAUUAUCUCUGAUUUAUAACAAUAUUUUUAGUAAUUUGUCAUUAUCCAAUCUUUCAACUUAGCUUCCUUAGAAACAAAGAACUCUUUGUCACACCCUCAUUUCAUUAAUUUUUGUAAUAUAAAACAAAAUCAAGUAAUUACCAUAACAAAUACAACUUGAAUAAACAGUUCAAAAAACUGGAAGAGCAGAGCUCACCAGGAGGCAUUAGGUGUAAUAUGAUAAAUUCAGUCUCCUCCUGCUGCUAGUAUCACACUGGAUAUUAUCAGAAUGACUCAGUGCUUAUAUACUACUUUAAAUUCUUAACAGUCUUACCACAUAAAUACCCAUUAUCAGAACAAUUGUGUGAAAUUUGGGAACACCAAAAGAGAUUUCUGGGUAUUCUUUUACUGUAGUGCCAGGAUUUUUUUUGUUGUUGUUGUUGUUGGACACAAUACCUGUAUUUUUAAUUGUUUUUAUUUUUGUGCUGAGGAUCGAACCCAGUGCCUCUCAUGUGCCAGGCGAGUGCAGCCACAACCUCAGGGGCUACUCCUGAGCCACAACCUCAGCCCCUGCACUGGGAUUUGACUGGCCUAUUUUACAACCAUGUAGGAUAAGAGGCUAGUUUAUACUUUUUUUUGUUUGGUAGAAAUGAAAAUUAUUUAUAUUUGAUAGCCUCCAAAACUGUGAGCAAUCAUCCCAAGGGUUAUGAUUUAUGGAUGGAUGCCUGAGAUAAUACCAGCUUUGUGUUGAACCCGGCAAUCUUAAAUAUUUAGAUAUCCUACCAAUUAAAUUGCAUAGAUAUGGUUCCUCAAAUGCUCUUUGAAUUGAUUUAAAUCUUACUGCUCUAAUUCUUCAUGAAUGGGUUGAAUAAAAAUUGGGGGACAUAUUCACUUUGUAUUUAUACGGGGGAGUCAUUAUUUUAUCCUUUUGGAAAAUUAACAUCACAUUUUACAGAUGAAGAUAACAAAGUCAAAGUGAGAUGACCUAAUCAUAUCCCAAAGGCCUCACCUCCAAAUACCGACACAUUGGGGUUUGGUUUUCAACCUAGGAAUUUUGGGGGGACACAAACAGUUUGAGUAAUGAACUUUGGGGUUAUUUUCCAGCUUUUGGUGAUUUUAAAGUGUCUAUGAAGAAUUAUAUAGAGACUUUGGGGUGAACACGUUUUAAUUUCUCUCAAGUAAAUGGUUAGGAGUGAGGUUGCUGAAUCAUGCUACACAUAUAUUUAACUUUAUAAAAAAUUGCCAAAUGGUUUCUAAAAUAGCUAGAAAUGCAUACAUUUCCAGUUGUAUUCCAACUGGAAAUGUAUGCAUAAAUAUUCCAGUAGUUCUGUGUCUUUAUCAACCGUUAUUGUUAUGAUUCAUGUUUGUGUAUUAAAUCCCUUUAGAACUCAUAUGUUGAAAUCCCAACCCCUAAAUAAUGGUGUUUGGGAGCUGAGGACUCUACCCUCAUAAACAAGAUUAGUGCCAUUAUGAUAGAUCUCCCAAGAGAGCUCAGGCACCCUUACUAUCAUGUGAGGACACAACUACAAGGCAUCAUCUAUGAACCAGAAAGUGACUCUCACCAGACACUAAAAUUGCUAGUGCUUUGAUCUUGGACUUUGCAGCCUCCAGAACUAUGAGCAAUAAAUUGCUGUUGUUUGAAAGGCAUCCAGAUUAUGGUUGUUUGUUUUAGAAGCUCAAAUGGACUAAUACAGUUGUCAUUAUCAAAUUGAUUGAUUUUAUUGUAGCCCUUUUAGUAGGUUUGUAGUGGUAUCUCAUUGUAGUUUUAAUGAUUGACGAUUUCUUUUUCCAUCUUUCCCAGUUUCUAUGUUCCAAAACAUUCAUUUUCUUUCCACACUCCUAUUUGUCAAUUAGGUUUUCUUACAUGCUGAAAAGUGCAAUGACCUUUUAAAACAGCUUCUAUGAAAACAAAAAACACAAAUGUUUCUUGGGGCCCUUCUUGAAACUAACUUACUACUUUUUCUGAAGUUAAUUUCUAAAGACCUGAUCUUCAGUUAGAGAUUAUUUAUGAUGCUGAACAGGAUCUAAUAAAAGAUGAAAAAGACACUAUUAACUGAAUUUUAGAAUCUUAGGAUUUAGUUGAAGAGAGAGAGAGAGAGAGAGAGAGAGAGAGAGAGAGAGAGAGAGAGAAGGAGAGCACGGAGCACGCAAGCGUUCUCAGGUCUAUGAAACAGGUAGGGAUGCUCUGCAGUCUAGAGAGUCACAAAGACAGGAAAGCAUACACAGGGGCCAUCCAGCUCCUAGUUCUCCAACCUCAGCUUCACAUUAACUUACUUGGAGAACUUUAAAAACAAUACUGAUGCAGAACCUCACCUGCAGAGAUGCUCAUGGACCUUAUUUGGGGUGGACAGUGUGUAUCCACCAUUGUUUAAAUUCCCCAGGCUUUUUAUUGUGUCUCCAAAUCACAGGAUAACUCCAAUUGUCUGAUGUGCUUCAGUGACUCCCAGAAUUCAAAGACACCAGCAUGCUGACUAUAUACAAAUAUUACAACAUCAACAGAAACCCAUCAUCUGCUAUCAUCGUUGCUUUAUUAAAAAGACCUUCUACCACCAAAACAUAGAAAGUACAAAAUUAAAGAAUAAAGUCAUGGUCUUUACAAGGAAUGCAUUGAGAUUUAGGCAUGCCCCUUUGACAUAUUCUCUAUUAUCUUUUCUCUUUUUUUGCAUCUCAAACAAUUGCCAGCUGUAUCCUAAGUCAUUAUAAACCCCUGAAGAGGCAUUUGAGAACUUUGGGAAUCAGGCAGAUUAGUGGUUAUUUCCUUGGAUGAGAAAUACCACUGAGCUUUCAUGCAGGUGAGGAUUUGCUUCUUUCUCAAGCAAUCUGCUGAGUACCUGAAAAUAAGCCAUCCUUCCUCUAUUCCUUUGCUUUUCUAGCAUCAAAAUCUUGCAAACACCUGGAAGUAAUAGGCAAGCAGAUUGAUUGUGAGUGUGCAGUAUCUUGAUGUGAAUUUUCAAAGGUUACUUAUGCCCUGUCUGACAUUUUUUUGGAAACGAUAUAACUAAUACAUUCCUAAUUGACCUGUUUUCAUGUGAGUCUGAUAAACAUCUGUAUGAAUACCAAUAUGUGUGGCUAAGUUCAAAAAGAAGCUGAAGGGUGGGCUCUCUUCUCUGCCUUUUCUUUUUCCUUGGUUUUCUGAGUAUUUCCUCCUGUGGUGGAUCUUAAUAUGAUGACAUAAUCAGGAGACAAUGAAUGACCCUUUGAGAUGAAGACAGAAAAAAAUAUCCCAAUAAUUUCUUUGUUUCAUCUUAAAUAGCAACCCUGGGUCAGUGGGCAGUGUAUGCCAGUAAAUUAAAAAGAAAAUCCGUACUUAAAAGGCAAAUAUCUCAGGGAGUACAGAAGAGAGAAACAAUUAUGGUUUGUUUGAUCACCAGCUUCCUGUCAAAGCUGACAUCUCAAAUUUCAUAUAUUUUACUGCUUCUUCUCCAUUUCAUUUUCCCACUAGAGUGCUUUUGGUGAAUGUUUUUUAAUUUUUUCCCAGAAGCCUUGGCUUAGCACCCUCAUAGUGUUCUUUGUUGGACGAAAAAGUAAAGAUGUUUUCCUGUAUGAUGGCAAUCACCAAGAAAAUGACUGGUGAUGAAAAUGUAGCCUCGGUAGAGUUUGUUUUCAGAAACGCAAAGAAUAAAGCAUUUUACUCCCUGUAUGUGUCAAACACACUAAAUCACCUUCACUAUUUGCUAGAUUUUCAGGAACCACCAACAGAAACAAAAAUUCAGGCAAAUAUACAAAGUAUAAGACUGUGAUGCAAAUUUCAAGCUAACCUGGAAAAAGAAAAGGAAAAUCUUAACCUUCUAUUGUACCCUGCACUCAUUUAGAAUAGGUUCCUUGGAUAGGUGUCUAUUUUCCUCUGUCCAGAGAAGGUUUGAGAAACCAUGAACUUGGUUGCAAAGUGGGGCUAUUGAAGUUUGGUGGAUAGACUGUCCUUUGAGAGAAGAGCUAAAUACUUCUAGGAAGAAAAUAUUCAGAUUUUGGUUUACAGCUAUUUAAGAGAUAAUAAAAACUUAUGAUCUUUUAUAUCAAGCCAAACCUUAGCAAGGCUCCAAGUCACACCGCUGGUGGGUUCCUGCAGAGUGUUGAGGGAAUAAAGCAGUCAGAUGAUGUGUGAUAAAGACACAGGUCCUGUGCCACCACUGAGAGUGUUUGCAACUCUGACCUAAUGUACUGGGGUUUUCUGUUUCCCCAACAGACUGCCUUUGGGCUCUCCUUUGAGUCCCACUCCACCUCUGAAUCUGACCACAUAACUCAAUAUUUUGGUGCACUGAUCUCCUAAUCUCAGGCAUUCUGGCAUUUUACAUUCAUCCACAUUUCUAGAAUAAUAAUGAAAAUGCCUUUCUUGGGGUUCCUCUUAUUCCAUCUCAGUAUUGCUUGGGACAAAAGGAUCAUCCAUACCACAGGGGCAUUUGUGAAGUCUGAAACUGGACUUGUAUUGAAAAUCGGGGUGGAUGAUUUUAUAACAACAGCUGACAAAGUAGUACAACACAGCCGUACUCAUAUCUAUGUACUUGAGGUGUUUAUUGGUGGUGUAUAAGGGGCCAAACCACUUUAUUUUCACUCACAUCUACUUCUUAGUAAGGAUGAUGAAAAGGGUUGGGCUCCAUGUUGCCCCUGUUAAUUUGCCACUCUGUUUCAGGGAAUAGCACCUCAAAACACAUCUUGAUCUAGGGAACAUGGACUUAAAAUUGAUUGGCAGGUCGUCUGAAAGAGGGUAAAGGAGAUGAGACAUAGAAGACUGAGCUACACUGAUGUGGGUAGGGAGGGCUGGGUUGAGGAUGGGGUUGAUGAAGUGUGUUAGGGGACUUGACAGAUUGGGCCAUCUCUUUUUCCAUAUAUCUGAAUUUCUUAAACAGUCUCCACAGUUAUUCUUUUCCUUCUUUGUAUAAUUUUCUAUAACUUCAGUGUUUUGUCCCUGUGAUCCCCCACAAGAGCAGACAUUAAAUGACUAAACAGGGACUGGGGAUAUAGCUUAGUUGGUAGAAUUCCUGCCUCAAACACCCAGGGCCCUGGGUUCAAUCCCUGGCAACACACACACACACACACACACGCACAAACACACAAACAAAAUAAAUAAAUAAAUAAAAUGACCAAACAUUUUAAAGUAUUAGGAGAGGGAAGUUCAAGUCACAUACUCUAGUAAUCAUCACUUUGUGUUGUGUUGUAAAGGCAAAGCUCCCUAAGAUUAUGGAGAGUUUCUAGGAUAUAAACCUGACAGGCAUGGAUACGGUAUAUAAAGACCUAUCUACUGCAAAACAGCAGAAUGCUUUCAUCCAGGAUAUUUUUUGUACAUUCUUGGUUGGGUCCUUUCUUCUCUAGGAAGCAAUGAAUGCAUUUGAUUCAAUGGGAAAUUAGCUGGGUGGUGGCUACAAGACACUGGAACCAUUUCACUCUAAAAAUGAAUACAUUGGGUUGAUAUCACAAACAUCACCUCCAUCUCAUGUGGAUCUAUGUGGAAUUGAGAUGGAAGGGGAAAAGCUAACCAUACACAAAAGUAGUUGCUGAAGCUUUUGCCUUUACAGGUAAAAUUUAAAACUUAUAGUUUUCAAGUAUUAGAAACUUUCCAAACGAAAGAAAAAGACACCAUCCAAGUUAUACGUGUUUGUGCAAUGUAGAACAGAGGAUGAGGCAGGGGUGCAGGCUCAGAACGAGAUCUGACACAGCCUUCUGAAUCAAGACUCAUCUCACUACAAUGGAGACCCUGAUUGCCGCAGUCUGGCUGCAGCAAACUAACGGGGGCGUGGGGGGGUGAUUACAGACCCUAACACCUGAUCAUUUAAUUUAUUGUUUCUGUAAUUUGCUUAAAAGAACUGUUGCAUAUUGAUUCAUCGAAUAGUUACUGUCAUUGUUUCCUACUUAGAACUGUGAGCUGAAGUCCCCCAUACAGCAGAGUUCAGUUGUUCAGAUCCCUAGGGCCAGGUGAAACAACCAAUAGGUAUUACUGAGAUUCUGAGGUUGAGAGUGAGAAAAGGAGGAAAGCAGUGCACCUAUGACCUGGGACAUAUUUCUGUGCAGAAAUCGGGUGAGGAUAUGUCCACUUUAGGUUUUAGGAAAGGCAGCAGAAUACAACAGUCACUAGUAUGGCACUAUGUAAAAACGUGGAUGUGUAACCGAUGUGAUUCUGCAAUCUGUAUACAGGGUAAAAAUGGGAGUUCAUAACCCACUUGAAUCAAAUGUAUGAAAUAUGAUAUGUCAAAAGCUUUGUAAUGUUUUGAACAACUAAUAAUAAUAAGGAAAAUAAAUAAAUAAAUAAAUAAAAUUGAAUUAAUGCAUUUGGGGAAAAUUUAUAAAAUAGAGACAACCUCCCCCCAAAGAUUUAAUAUUUCUUAUCUUCAUUACUGAGAAAGUGUCUUUGUUAGUACUAUAGUGUGAAUCCCCAGACUCUUUAUCCAUCUUCCCUUUCUCUUUCCCUCUCUCCUUCCUUCUCCCUCUUUUCCCCUCACUCUCCCACUGACUACCUUCCUUCCCUCCUCCCUUCCUUCCUUCUAUUUAUACAUCCAUCUGUCUCUUCCUUUUUCAUACUGCACACAUGGAAUAAUAAUAUUAGCUUUGUUCUAUGACCUUACACAUCAUCUCCAACUUCAUGAGGAUCAGCCAUAAAUCACUUAAUCCCAUUAUUAAACAUCUUUUCCACUUGGCAUGCUUUUACUAUUACAAACAAUGCUUCAUUGAAUAGCUUUCUAUUUACUAUUUUGAAACUUCUGAGUCAAAGGGGUAAACAUUUUAAGACAUUUGAUGUAGUAGUCAAAAUUGUCCGUUGACUUACAAAUAGAUUUUACUAAUUUUUCUUCUAUUUUUGUGGAAAUCGAGAUUACCAUUAUCUUGAAUUCUUAAAAAAAAAUCCUUCCUAGAUGGAACUCAUCAAAAUAGAAUAGUUUCAUGGAGAGUUAUUGAUAUUAUAUCUUUUUUUAAGGUAAAUUGUUUCUAGUAGCAAGGACACCCAAAAAAUAAAUAUGGGAAUCUGCUUUUUGGUAAAAGUAGGAGUCAACUUAAAGCUCAAGUGCCAAAAUAUUUUAAAAUGCUCUCAAAAGCAGGAACAAUCCGUUGAUGGAGGACAGAUGGAAAAGAUGCUAGAAACAGAGGACAUUGUAUCUGCAAAUAUCAAAGAGAUUUAUAAGAAAACCUAGUUUUCCAAAACGAGGUCGGUAAUAGUGGGAACAUGAGCACACACUGGCUGCAGCUGCUUCUGUUGCACACUUGGUCCUGAGGGUCAAGACAAGAGGGGCUGUUUGAAGACCACGUAGACAAGCCAUGUUUGCUGGAAGCAAUUUGUCUUUGUGGCUUUGGAAAAGAAAGACUUUGCAAUGGGAAAACCCAAUAGCUACUCAUGAUCCUUGGCUGGGAAAGAGUAAAGGAAACUUGUGCAAAACCAGAGAUUAUAAGAAAUGUUUCAGUGUGUGAGUCUAUGCCUGUACCUCUGCCUUUUUGUGGGCAUGAAUUUCCAGAAUUCAGCUGUUUAGGAAAACCUCAUUUCUUAGUGAUGAAUAAUAAACAAGAAAUCAGAGCAUCAAGUCCAAGAUAUUAUGAGAAAAAGAGAGGAGCAAAGAGACCAGGAGAAAAUAGUAGAUGACGAUCAAUAGUAUAAAACCAGUUUGAUCAGAUGAAAAAUUCAUACAAACUUCUCACCAUGGAUAAUGCUGAAAUGCAAUAGGUUGGGGGAAGGGGUGGCAAGGCAAUCAGAGCAGAUGAAAGAAAUAGAAGAAAGAUCAAAGCUAUCACAAAAAUGAAGGUAAAAUCAGAAGGAACACAACAUACACCACCUUAGUCAGAAUAACAGAAAUGAAAACAGAAAUGAGAAACCUGAGUAAAAUGACAUGAAAAUAACUACAAAAGGUUAUAAGAAGGAUGAUAGGAUGUGGAAGACAGCAAUGCCUCAGAUACAUAAGGUUAGUCGGAACUUCUAAAGGAGAAAUUGGAUCUAAUGGAAAAAGAUUAAUAUUGAGGUCGUGAUCUAAGAUAACUCAUAAAAUGAGAGAACUUAAAAUUACCUACUGAAGUGAUAUUGUGAAAUAGGGACAAUUGACUCAUCUCAACAACUUGGUAAACUUACUGGGUUCAAAAAAUAUUUUAAAUAGCUCUCCACACUUUGCUUCCCACAGGUUAUUUAUAAUGGGACAAAUAAGUCCUCUCCAUUAGAAAACAAUAGAAUAAAAGCAAAAAUUGCCAAGCAAGGGCUGGGGGUGCAGUUCAGUGAUAGAGUGCUCACCUACCAAGCACAGGGCCAUGGAUUCAAUCUCCAACACUACAAAAGUAUAAAAAAAAAAAUCAUCAAACCAAACCAACCAACCAACCAACCAAACAACAACAACAACAAAACAGAAUAAAACUAAAAGGGGUAAAAAAAAAAGUUAAGUAAUGCUUAAAAAUUUUAUCAUCAACCAAAUGAGACAGUUUCUAGCAUACAAAUGUUCAGACAAUAUCAGUCUGAUGAGCUUUAGAGAAAAAUGUAUAGGAAAAGUAUUGAAAGUGACAAGUGAAUCUAUUUAUUCUUUGAACUAAUAGGACUGAGAUGAAGAUAAAUAUGAAGAUUAAAUCAGAACACAAAAUGUAAGAGAUAUAGACAGAGGCAAUAUGUGAAAAGUAUAAAUAUAAAUCCAUUAGUGUAAAAUAAUAAAGCAAUAGUAAAUUGAAUUCAAUGACACUUUAAAAACAUAAUAUAUUAUGAUCAAGUGGUGUUGACUGCAGAAUUCAAGGAUGAAGUUACAUUACAAAAUCAAAACCCUUUCUUUUCUUCCUGAAUACUUGAGUAUUAAAAUAUUUUAUCAUUUGUUAUCAUUAAAAUAUUCAUUCAACAAACUUGAAAGAAUUUUACAAUGAACACUCAUAUAUUCAUCUCUACUAUUAAAUUUCAUUCUACUUGAUUUGUUAUGCAUCUAUUCUUCAAUUCAUGUUAAUCCAUCUUAUUAUUUAUGUAUUUCAAAGUAAAGUAAAUAAAUUGUAGAUAUUAGUACACUGCCUCCUGCAUCUUUUAAUAUAUAAUACUUUUUUUCAGUGCUGAGGAUCAAACUCACGGCUUUGUGUAUGCUGGUAAGCACUUUACCACUGAGCUAUACCCCCAGCCCACAAUAUUCAUUCUUGAUAAAAAAUUUUAACAAUGCAAAAUAGAUGACUACUUCAUUUGCAUGAUAAAAAUAUAGCUUUCUGCUAUAGUUUGGAUCUGGAAUGAUUCCCAAAGGUCCAUGUGUUAAAGGCUUAUUCUUAGCUUGACACCAUUAAGAACUGGUGGUAUCUUUAAAAAGUAGGGCUUAGUGGGAGGUUUUAGGUUAUUGGGGGCAUGCCCUUAAGGGGGUUUGUGGGAGUCUGGUCUCUCCUCUCUCUCUCUUUAUAUAUAUAUAUAUACACACACACACACACAAACAGAUAUAUAUCUGUAUGUGUGUGUGUGUGUCUCACUUCUGCUUUUGGAUCAUGAAGAGAAUGGCUUUGUUUCAUCAUGUGCUUCUACCAUGGUAUGCUCCAUAGUCCCCAAACAAUAGAACCAAUCAGUUGUGAACUGAAACCUCCGAAAUUAUAACAAUAAUAGGCCUUUUAAGCUCUAUAAGUUGAUUUGUCUCAGAUAUUUGUUACAGUGAGACAAAGCUGACUACCAUACUUUCUCAACUUAAUACCCAGCCUCAUACUCAGGUGGAGACACUAACAGUAUUCCUAGCAAAGGCAAAGGCAAGACAAGAAUAUCUAUAACACCAAUAUUAUUAAGCAUUUUCCUUCAAGUUUAGUCAAUAAAUUGGGAAAGAAAAAAGAGACAUGUAAGACAGAAGAAAGCAAAAUUAUUAUUAUUUGUGGAUGAUAAACUAAUAUACAAAGAAAUCAGGAGAAUCACCUAGAAAAUCAUCCUAAUAAAUAAGAGAAUCUGGUAAAGAGGUUUAACGUCAACAUACAAGAGGCAACCACUUUGAUAUUUAUAAACAAAAACAAUUUAUGAGACAUUUUAUAAAAAUAAAUUUUUACUUAUAAUAGCAAUUACUAAAAUAAAAUAAUUAAUAAUGUGCUUUAAAAGUUCAUAUAUAUGUAUAUAAUGCAUGCACUUCACAUGUGCAUAUAUACAUAUGCAUAUUUCAUAUAUAUAUAUAUUUUUGAAAAGAUUUAAAAUGCUCCUCUGGGAAAGAAAACUUGAAUAAUUGGAAAGUCAUACCAUGUUCUUAUAUAGAACAUAUUUAAGUCAUGAAGAUGUUAGUAUUUUCCAAAGAAAUUUCCAAAUCUAACUCGAUCCCAAUAAAUAUAUUUACAGUUUUAUUAUUUUUUGAACCAUUCAAGUUGACAGUAUAGUUGAUGUAGAAAAAUUAAAAAGCAAGCUAUUUAGGGACUUCUGAAAACAAAGGUUAAUGCUGGUAGUCCAUAAAUGUAUGCAAACACAUCCAACAAAUAGCACUGAAUAAAGGUGGCAUCUCAAGGGUGGUUGGAAAAUGUGGAUUGUUGAAUGGCUGAUUUAGAACAACAGUCUCCCUAUUUAUAAAUGAAAGCAGAUUUGGAUUCAUACCUUACAUUCACACAAGAUACAUUCCAAGGAGAGUCAGAGAUUUACUUGUUAAAAUACAAAACAACAACAAACCUUGAAAUAAUUAGAGGGAACCCUGAGAGAAUUAUUUUAUAUCACCAGAGUUGGAAGGACUUUGCUAGUACACAAACUUAAGAAAUCACAAAUGAGACUGACCCUUCAUCCCUGUCAAAUCUAAGAACUUCUGCAUGGAAAAAGUUUACCAUCAGUGAAGCCAAAAGAGGAGCAUACCAGCCUGUACCACACAGUAUACCCUCCUUAAGUGUAAAGAGUUCUAAAGGGAAUAAAACGUGAACAACCGCUCUAGUUCAACAUACAUAAAUCAAUAAAUGUAACUCAUCACAUCAAUAGACUUAAGGACAAAAAUCACAUGAUUAUCUCAAUAGAUGCAGGAAAGGCAUUUCACAAAAUAUAGCAUCCAUUCAUGCUCAAAACACUAGAAAAAACUGGGAUAGUAGGAACAUACCCCAACAUUGUAAAAGCUAUAUAUGCUAAACCCAAGACCACAUCAUUCUAAAUAAAGAAAAUUGGAAAGCAUUCCUUCUAAAAACAGGAACAAGACAGGAUGCCCUCUUUCACCACUUCUAUUCAACAUAGCUCUUGAAACCCUAGCCAGAGCAAUGAGGCAAAAGAAAGAAAAUAAAGAAUAUGAAUAGGCAAAGAAGAGCUGAAACUAUCCCUAUUUGCCAAUGACAUGAUUCUAUUUAUAGAACACCCCAGAAACUCUACCAGAAAGCUUCUAGAACUCAUAAAUGGAUUCAGCAAAGUAGCAGGAUAUAAAAUUAACACCCAUAAGUAAACUACAUUCCUAUACACCAAUGAUGAAUCAGCUGAAAGAGAAAUUAGGAAAAAUAUCUCAUUCACAAAACCUUAAAAAUAAUACUUGAGAACCAAUCUAACAAAAGAAAUGAAAGACUUAUAAAAUAAAAACUAAAGAACACUAAAGAAGGAAAAUAAAGAAGGCCUUAGAAGAUGGAAAUGGCUCCCAUGUUCUUGGUUAGGCAGAAUUAAUAUAAUCAAAAUGGCCACACUACUAAAAGGCCGUACAGAUUUAAUGCAAUUCCUAUUAAAUUCAAUGACAUUCUUCAUAGAAAUUAAAAAAGUGGUCAUGAAAUUCAUUACAAACGAAUUCAUAGCCAAACUAAUCCUUAGUGAGAAAAGUAAAGCAAGAUGCAUCACAAUACCAGACCUCAAAUUAUGCCACAGGGCUAUAGUAACAAAAACAGAACGGUAUUGGGACAAAUACAGAUAUGAAGACCAAUGGAACAGAAUAGAAGACACGGAGACAAGCCCACAUAAAUACAGUUAUAUCAUCCUAGACAAAGAUGCCACAAACAUACAUUGGAAAAAAGAUAGCUUCUUCAACAAAUGGUGCUGGGAAAACUGGAAAUCCAUAUGUAGUAGAAUGAAAUUUAAUCCCUAUUUCUCAUCGUGCACAAAACUCAACUCAAAGUGGAUUAAGGACCUAGGAAACAGACCAGAGACCCUGCACCUACUAUAAGAAAAUGUAAAGCCCAACUCUUCAUCAUGUGAGCUUAGGAACCAACUUUCUCAACAAAACUCCUAAAAUGCAAGAAGUAAAAUCAAGAAUCAAUAAGUGGGAUGGUAUCAAACUAAAAGCUUCUUCACAGCAAAGGAAACAAUUAAGAAUGUGAAGAGAGAAACUACAGAAUGGGAGAAAAUCUUUACUGCUUUUACCUCAGAUAGAAACAUUAAUAUUCAGGAUAUUCAAAAAACUUAACACCAACAAAACAAAACAAAUAAGCCAAUCAAUAAAUGGGCAAAAGAAGUAAAUAGGCAUUUCACAGAAGAAAUAUAAAUGGCCAACAAAUAUAUGAAAAAAAUGCUUAACAUCUGUAGCAAUUAGAGAAAUGCAAAUUAAAACUUCACUGAGAUUCCAUCUCACUCUAGUCAGAAUGGCAAUUAUCAAGAAUACAAGUAACAGUAAAUGUUGGCCAGGGUGUGGGGGGGAAGGUACAAUCAUACAUUGCUGGUGGGGCUGCAAAUUGGUGCAACAAUUAUGGAAAACAGUAUGGAGAUUCCUCAGAAAAUUUGGAAUAGAACCACCAUUUGACCCAGUUAUUCUUCUCCUUGGUUUGUCCAAAGGACUUAAAAUCAGCAUACUACAGUGACACAAUCACACCAAUGUUUAUUGCAGCUCCAUUCACAAUAGAUAAGCUAUAGAACCAACCAACCUAGGUGUCCUUCAUCAAACGAAUGGAUAAAGAAAACAUGAUACAUAUAUACAAUGGAAUAUUACUCAGCCAUAAGGAAGAAUGAAAUUAUAUCAUUUGUUGGUAAAUGUAUGGAACUGGAGACUAUCAUGCUAAAUGAAAUAAGCCAGUCCCCCCAAACAGGCCAAAUGUUCUCUCUGAUAUGUGGGUGCUGACACACAAUAAAGGACAGGAGGUAAAAAAUAGAAAAUCAUUGGAUUGAACAAAGGGAAUAGAAAGAAAGUGAGGGGAAAUGAGAUGGGGAAAGAUAGUAGAAUAAAUCAGACACAAUUUCUUGUGUUCAUAUGUGAAUACACCAGUGAAACUCCACAUGUUGUACAACUACAAGAAAGGGAUUUUAAUUAGAAUAAGUUAUACAUCCUGUAUGUAUAAUAUGUCAAAAUACUCUCUGCUAUUAUAUAUAUCUAAAAGGAACAAAUAAAAGAGGUUUAAAAAAAAUGAACAAUCUCCCAAUAAAGUGGACAAAUACUAUGACAGAUUAUUUUUAUUUAUUUAUUUAUUUGUUUGUUUAUGUAUAAUGGUGGAAUGCAUUAAAAUUCUUAUUACAUAUAUAGAGCUCAAUUUUUCAUAUCUCGGGCUGUAUACAUAGAGUACUCAAACCAAUUCGUGUCUUCAUAUAUGUACUUUGGAUAACAAUGGUCUUCACAUUCCACCAUCAUUAAUUACCCCAUGAUCCUUCCCUUCCCCUCCCACUCCUCUGCCCUAUCUAGAGUUCAUCUAUUCCUCCCAUGAUCCCUCUCCCUAUCCCACUAUGAAUCAGCUUUCUUAUAUCAAAAAAAAAAUCACUGGUGCAGCCAAUUGGAAAGCAGUAUGGAGAUUUCUUGGAAAAUUGGGAAUGGAACCACCAUUUGACUCAGUUAUUCCUCUCCUCAGUCAAUACCCAAAGAACUUAAAAACAGCAUACUACAGGGACAUAGCCACAUCAAUGUUCAUAGCAGCACAAUUCACAAUAGCUAAACUAUGGGACCAACCUAUGUGCCCUUCAGUAGAUGAAUGGAUAAAAAAAAAAUGUGGCAUAUAUACACAAUAGAAUAUUACUCAGCAAUAAAAGAGAAUAAAAUCAUGGCAUUUGCAGUUAAAUGGAUGGAGUUAGAGAAGAUAAUGCUAAGUGAAAUAAGCCAAUCCCCAAAAGACAAACGCCUAAUGUUUUCUAUGACAGAUUCUUUAUAGAAAAAUAAAUGUACAGGGGCUGGGGAUGUGGCUCAAGCGGUAAUGCACUCGCCUGGCAUGCGCGGGGUGCUGGGUUUGAUCCUCAGCACCACAUAAAAAAGAAAAAUAAAGAUGUUGUGUCCACCGAAAAACUAAAAAAAAAAAAAAAAAUUAAAAAAAUUUUCUCUCUCUCUCUGUCUUAAAAAAAAAAGAAAAAGAAAUGUACAAAUUAAGCUUUAUCAUGGGUAUGUGUGUGUUAGAAACAACAUUGUAUAUAUAGAAUUUGGUACUCUUUGUAGUUUCAGGAAUCCACUAGGGUCUUGGAUAUUAUCCCCCAAGGGUAAGGGGGAGCUACUUCCAGCUACAUAGUGUAAUUUGUUUCUCUUAUUUUAAGUAGCUUUGAACACCGGUUUCCAUAUUCCAUAUAGAACCACUUUCAUUUGCUAUAUUCUUGUAGUUGGGAAGGUGCAGAGAGAAUGUGUUGGCUGGCUGUGGGCAGAGGAGAAUGAGGAUGGCAGAGGAGGAGAACAGGCUUCCCAGCCAUGCUGGGCCUCUAUUAUAGUUUGGAUUUCUAAUGUCCCCAAAAGGCUCAUGUGUUGGAAGCUUGGUCCUCACCCAGCUGGUGGCACUGUUGGGACAUAGUGGAGACUUUAGGAGUUGGGACCUAGUUGGAGGAAGUGGGUCACUGGAGGCACAGUUUUCAAGGUAAAUUUGUUCCAGGGCUCCUGCACCUGCCAUUCUGCCUCCUGGCUACCAUGAGGUAAGCAGCUUCUUCCCUCACACUCUUGUGCCAUGAUGUUUCUAUCUCUCCACAGGACUAAAAGUAGUGGAGUUGGCCAGCCAUGGACUGCAACCAUUUUGAACUUUUCUUUGUUUUUGAAGUUGUUAUACUCAGGCAUUUUGUCAUAGCAAUGGAAAGCCUACUAACAUAGUGCCUUUGCGGGUGUUUAUAAGUGGAUAGAAUUAUUUUAAAAGCGUGUUUGGGAAGGCUUUGAGAAUAAGAAUCACCUCCUUGGGUUGAGGUAAUAAGGGAUCCAGUGAGUUGGUGGGGGGGUCAUUCUCCCAUCCUGGUGGAACCCAGCCCUGAGCUGACGCACACGGGAACCAGCUGGAAACCUCCUUCAGGCAGCCUGGAGGCUGCAGAGGUGUUGACAGCCAGAGCUGAGAGGGGAAACAAGGGGGCUGCUGCAUAAAGCAGCAGCAGACAAUGCCGAGUGCCUGAGGCAUCAUUUGGGGGCUCCCGGUGGUAAAUGGGGAAACUAGUCAUAAAGUCACAAGAGAAGUUUCCCACAGAGAGCAGGGCCAUGGGGGUGGUUGAAGUGUGAGUGUCAGCAGGCAGGAAGGCUCAGAGCCAUCCAAAUUUGGGUCUAAAUAUGAAUCUGUUCCACAGUCACAUCCAGCAACCAGACCCGCUUUGGGUUACUAGUUCACAUCUGUUGAAAGAAUUCUUAAUUGAAUAUAAUUUCAAUUCUCUCUAGAGAUUAGAUGUAUUUUACAGGAAAAAUGGUCCUCUCGAUUUGAGAAGGCAUUGUUCUUAAAUUAGAGACUCUGGUCGGACCUACCAAGUUCUCAUCUUGCAGUGGGCACCUUGAAUUAUUAGUGGUGCCUCAACUCCUCAGCUUUCUUCCCACUGUGCCUGUGAUCAUGGCUCUCCUCUUCCUGGAAUCCCCACCCCACCCACACUCCACCCUGGAAAAUUCCUACUCAUAUUUUAAGACCAAGGCUAGUUCCUUUAAAAAACUCUUCAUGCCCUUUCCUGUACACUGAUGAUUUUUUUUCCUUCCUUCUCUGUGCUCCCAAAGCAGGAUGUAUCUCCUUCUGUCUGGGUAACAUGAUAAAUUCUGAUUCACAGGACACUCCACUAUGGAGUUCUGGAGGCACAGGUCUGCUCUACCUGGCCCAGAGCCCACUGGUAGGUAUUUAGUGUAACAUAGAAAUGGUUCAUUUUUCUCCAUAGGAUUCCAUGGUAGCAGCACUAACCUCCAGGGAAGAAUACCAGACUUCAUUUCCUGUUCACGCCUUGCCCUUCUCUCCCACACAAUCCACACUUCAAAAAUGGGGAUGUUAAAAUGGAUGAGUGGAGACUAAUUGGACUUUGAGUUCUCACUGGGUUUUCUUUCUCCUCCUCUUCCUUCUUUUCCUUUUCUUUCCCCCUCUCUUCCUCCUCCUCCUCUCUCUUGAUUUCAUAAAUACCCCGUGGUGAGAAGACAUAGCUGGUCUCCUGGGUAAUUGCGUGGCUAUGUGGAGGUCAGGGGUGAAUGGAAUAGAACAGGCCUGUUCUCUGUUGGGGGAGACCACCUGCCUCUUACACAUCUGCCUUCGAUGCUACAUUUGAAUGGUGGGAAGAAGUAGACCAAGCAGGGGAAAGAGUCUUGCUUAGGAAAUAGAGGACACCUUUCAAGGAUCCACCCCAAUCUCACAGAGGACCAUACUCGGUUUUAUUCAGUAAACAACUUACGACACCUGAAGGCCUGGAAUACUGCUUAGCUUAUAGUCGGAGCUCAAAUAAUACUUACUGAGUACAUGAGAGAAUGGGAGGAGGUUCUCAUCUUGCAGGCACACACCUCUAUUAGGAUCUUGUUGGACGUGAAAGAAGGGAAGAAGUCGGAGAGAAGAAUGUUGGUAGGGUAGGACAGGUCUAAGUAUGGAAGGUUCCAGAUCUAUUGCCAUCACGAUUUUACUCCAAAAUGUCUAAUGGGCAACACAUUAUUUUAUGUACUAUAAAUAUAGUGGCAUUUUAAAAGUUCUAUACUUUAGAUUUUCUUGGAGUCUCAAUUCAUGGGGUUUCAGUCAUUUCAGUCUGACAAUUUUUUGCCAGUUUAAUUGCUUAUCACUUAGCCAAACCAGCCUUUGUAAGAGAAGGGACACAGGAAAUUUAGACAUUCUCGUCUUACUCCCUCCCACCCUUUCAAUCACUGUGAUAAAAACUGAUCUACAGAAGCAGAGUGGGUGGAGCCACUCAUGGCCAUGGUCUCCUUGCCCCAUCGCUGUGAGCAGAACCAUAUGACAUUACAGAUCAACACGGACAGCAGGGGGUUGCUCCAUUGUCUAAGAUUAACUGUGAGAGCCGUAUCUCACACUUCUACGUGGCUUUGUGCUUUAUGUCACAUUUCAUGUAUGUGUUAGUGCUAUUGUCCAGCUUGGCUCCCCUAACUGACCAGAACACCCCCUCCCAGCGGCUGGGACUCAUGAAUGUCCCCUUCUCUGGGAGCCAUUUAGCUUCAUGGGUUAGUCCCUUUUACUCCUCCUUUCCAUCUGAAUGCAUCUGAUCCACAGGGCUUUCCUUGCUUUUCCAUACAAUCUUUCCUGGGAUCAUCAAGAAACAUAUCAGAGAGCAGUGGUACCAGCUGUGUGUUAAGAUCAAGUGGGAAGCUGUCUCCAGCAGUCUCCUGGGUCAGCCAACUCCUAGUGGUCCUUCUUUAUCCACCUUGCCCAAGCCUGUGCAUGUUCACCUGCCCCACUGUCCUGGGCAUGCCAACUUCUGCCACUUGCACCUAGGAGACUGUGUUCAAGUAUGCAAUCUCUCUAUGCCUCCAUUUUUUUUUCACCUAUGAGGUGGGUGCUGCUUACCUAAAAAAUAAGGUUGUGUGGAUAUAAUCAGGUAACUGUGAACACUUGAUGAGUUUUUAGAAAGAUUACUGGGUAGGGAAGAUUCAUUAGCUUAGAGAGAACAGACUUUAGUGGUUAAAAUAAGGUGAACAUUAAUUUCCAUCUAAAGCAUAGGAGGGGCAUUAAUCAGGGCCAGAAAGGCAGAUGUCAUCAGGGACUUUGGCUCUUUCUCUGGUUUAAUAUUCCCAAAUUGACCUCAUGGUCCAAAAUGUCUUCUGAAGCUCCAGCAAUCAUAUUCAUGUUCCAAGCAGGAAGGGGAAAAAAAAAGAGUUUAUCUCCAUUUUGUUAAGGAAAUUUACCAAAAACUUACUAUAAUAAUUAAACAGUUCCGCACAGAGCAUGAAAUCUGGUAGACAGUAAAUGCUCAGUAAGUGUAGCAUGUUAUGAUUAUUGCUUCUUAUUUCCUCCACCACUCUGUGCUACAUCCCUUGUGAUAUCUGAGAACCCCACCACCAUCAUAUACACUUGAAUCUACUGCCACACUUCUUUCCUGUGGUCUUGAAGUUCCCUGUCUGAGACAUUUUGGGUGAUUCAUGUCAUUAUGGUAGGACAUGACCUACAGGAGGCCAUUGUUCUUUGCUGAGGUCCUUGACAGUCUCAUGUUUUUCUAGUUAACUAAAACUAAGUGUCUGCUACCAAGUAAGUACAUGGCAGCCGGACUCAGGGGAAACCAGGAGAUGGAAGAGGAGGUGUGACUAUGCAAAGUGAUCCUGGCUGGAGCAGAUGGGGUCUUCUCGAGGAGGGGCACUGAAGCACAGGGGUGUUAGGCUUACUUAUCCUGCAUUGUUCUCUUGCUUAUGGAAAAGAAGACAUAAUAGGACAAAAUGGAAGUGUUGCUGGUUGGCUGGUUCUUGAGGGUUCUCUCUGAAGUUCUGUAGUGUCUGCUGAUGUGCACCGAACAUGCAGGGCCCCUGGUCUAGCCAGGAGAAGGCCAUGCUUUUUGGUCCAGACCCACAGCAUCCCAGUUGUUCCUGGUGUCUGGACUGCAGGAAGACCUGACAUCUAUGUGCUGUAGACAAUGGUCCAAGCAUGCAAGGGACAGAGAGAACCAUUUGCCUGUCACAUUUGGGUUCUGGAUGUGAAAAUACUCUUAUUUUUUUUUUCUUUGAGGAUGAACUUAUGAAUAUAACUUUUUUUUUUCAAUAUGGGUGGGUGGCAUUGCAUUUGGAGUCCAAAGUUUUAUAUUUAGGACGUACCUUGACCUCUGACUUGUCAUGAGAUGUUUGCUGUAGCUUACUACUUCUUGCUCAGAUUUUCAUUUGUAGAACAAAAGUAGCAAUAUAUUCUGUGACUUGGCUCCACAUUUUUUUUUUCAGGAGAAAAACUUGAAUAGUGGUAAAGAAACAGGAGAGAGGAUUAUUUGUGUUUCCAGAAAAUUGUGCUAUAGGUUUUUCUUGGUGUAGGUACCUAUAACCACAGGUGAUCCAUGAUACUUAUAUAUUUAAUUAAUUAUGGCUUAUAUGAUGAUGACUUUAAGUUUCAAAAAGUGAACAAAGGAAACCUUUCCUUGCUUCUUAGAGUUCUCCCAUCCUUCCAUCCGUGCUCUGAAUCCCUGGCAUAUGAAAUGGGGAUAACUGAGGAUCAGCACACAUAGUUGGAAUGUGAAAAGUAUGACCAACUGUGUUUGUGUGUGUUCUUUCUGGAGGAGAAGGUAAUAAAAUGGGAAAGAUAAUAAAUGAUGUGACCUUUACCUUUAAAAGAGCUUAGAAUAUAGUAGAAGUGACAAGAAAAACAUCAAAAGAGAUUUCUAAAAAAAAAAAAAGAAGAAGAAAGAAAGAAAGAAGAAGAAUGGGUUAUAUUUGAAUAUCCUGAAAGAAAUUUCUUAGGUCUGUUUACCUUCCUUCCUGGAUUGACUGAGAAGACCCAAUGAAGAUCAAGACAUUGUGUAUAUGAGCCAUUAUGAAAACUGUAAAGGCCCAGGUGGAUACUGUAAUUUACUCUUGGUUAGACAAAGCUUCAUGAAGGAGGUGGGGUACAAAUCUGACCUUAAAGCAUAGGCAGAGAAGAGGAAAGAAAAAAAAAUUUUAACAGGUGGGGACGAUGGAGGUGCUACUGGGGGCAGAAUUGAGUAUGGCCAGGAAGGACUUGCGCUCUCCAUGAGUCGAACUUAGAGAUUGGUGUUCCUAGCUCCAUUUACAGAUGAGGACCUGGGGGAGAAGAGAGCAGCUUGCUGAAAGUUGCAGUUAGUAACAACCAGGUCAACAGUUCUUUAGCUGGUAAGCAUCUAAUUUGAGCUUUCAAGUUCAAAGUCAUAGCCCAGGGGCAACUAACUCAAGGCCUAAAAUUUGUCUAUGGAGAUGUGAUUUGCUUUCUUCAGCACAGAGUCAGCAAAGGAAAUGUAUAAAGGAGUGAGGCUGGGGGAGAAGGACCUUGUAGGUUUUGAGGUGACCUGAAGAAGCCUGGAAGCCUACAGACCAGAUUGAUGACUGACUGACUAGAUGGCUGAUUUUCUGCCUUAUUGCUAAAGAGAUUUUAAAGAAACAAAAGGGACCCAUAACACCAAGAUAAAAUUAAGUUAAAAUAAGUGAAGAAAUAAGGCAAAGGGAAGAUAAAAAUAGGAGAGAAAGAUGAAUCCAGAAGUGAGGUCAUUACAUAAAAUGCAUAAUGUAAUUUCCUGGGCAUUUGCUAGAGAUGGGCCAGACAUUUGGCACUAUACCAUGUGAACAGGAGACAAAAUCAGUUAUAGGAUCUACAGUAUCCAUAAAAGAAAAGAGUACCUCCGAGCUGAUUCUGUUGCGAUGAAAGAACUAGAUCAAGAGGGGUUCUGUUCUUCAAAACCAAAGAAUCCCUGAUAAUGACAUUGGCUUCUCACAAACAUAGCCUCUUUCUGUUUUUUGUUGUUGUUGUUGUUGUUGUUAUUGUUUGUUUGUUUGUUUUUCCUUCUUCUUCUUCUUCUAGCUCACCCUCUGAGCAAUAGGAAGGGCGGAGAAAAUAAUCAAUCUAGUGUACUGCCCUAAUAAACCUAUUUUCUGGUUGCUGAGCAAAGGGGGUCGAGCAGGUGCUGUGGCAGGGCCACAGAGACUGCAAGUGACCUGCAGAGUCAGUGAGUCUGAACUGAAGCUUUGGAACCUUUCACAACCUGCCUGCUUCUUCUGAGCCAGAGACAGACAGUUGGCCAGCGCUACAGGAGAAUCACUGUGCUUCUGGGGAGGCCAUUCCCAGCAGGGCCAGUGGGGCCAGCCCCGUCUGCAGUCCUGUAUGUGAGCCUUCCGGGUUCUGCUUGUAGAAACUGCCCUAAUCCAGAUGGCCCAGAGCCAAGGGGCGGCUUGCUGUGUAAUACCCAUUCCUGGGCAGUUAGCUGUUAGUGGAGCUGCAUUGCAUGAGAGGAGCUUUGCCAAGGAAUGGGAGCCAGAGAAAACGAGGGCCCCACCCAGAAGCUAAGGCAAACACAUCAGGAGCAAUUUAGGAUCUGCACCUGCAAAAUAUGAACUGUUCUGUUUAAAGUGUUUUGUGAUCAGUAAAAGAUGACUUUGCUGCCUGUCUUUAAUUUUAUCUUGGAAGCUCUGUGGAUGUAAUGCUAAGACUUAAGGUAGAGUACAGAGAGGAUAAAAUUAUUUUCAUUUUCUCUCUAUUCUUUUCUUUCAUCCUCCUGUUUGCCCCUGUGAUCAAUUUGUACACACACACACACACACACAGAGCCUUUGGUGGCUUAAGUAGAAAUAGUAGCUCCUGGAAGCCAUCUAGGGUGGAAAGUAGGAGUCCACAUUUUUCUGUUUCAAGGAAGCUAACUGCACUCCUGGGGAGCUGUUGCUUCUCUCUCCUGGCUUGCAGAGGCAGCCUCUCCUCCUCCCUUGUCAAGAGCACUUAGCCCUGACAGAGCCAGCGGAGGUUUCACAUGACCUGACUCAUACCUUCAGAGGCUGCAUUCACUUAGAGGUCCCCAAAGCCUUAGUCAGGACUGAGCCUGGAGAGUCUGGGAGCAUAAUGCAGAUACCAGGGCCCAAAGCUUCCUGUUGUGUGGUAGGCCAAUGGCCAGGAGGGACCCAGGAGGGGAUGGGUUGUGGAAUAUUCCUUCUUAGCUUCAGAACUUGCAGGACUGUGCUGGGGCCCUUUCCCUGCUGCAGAUGGUGGGUGUGUUACUCCACAUCUUCAGCCACACACUGGGAAGGAACUGGGUGGGCUCAGGUUCCUACCAUUGGUCAGAUUGAGGUAGCUGGAUCCUAUGCGUGUACUCUGUGUGUCCCCAGCUGAAUAAAUCCUGGUUGAAAGCAAAAACUGAAAAUUUGGGGGAAGUGUUCAUUUCUAUUUAACGGGUGAGUUAGGUCUUGGUAUAAAAUCAUAGCCCUGAUUAUUCUCAGACCAAAGGCAAAAUUAGAUCAUUCAGCCAGUGCCCCCUUGUAACAUGUGCUCCAGAUGUCAGCCACAGGGCGGGGUGGUUCUUGAAGCAGGGAAGAAGGGAGGAAUGGCAGAGGAGAAGCAGGGAUAAAGGAGGGAUGUUUGGAUAGCUUUCUCUUGGUAUCACACAGAAAUCUCUAAGUCAACAAAUCCAAAUUGCCUUUAUUGUCUUUAUUCCCCUAAUUACUGCUUCUUCCCUGUGACUCCUUCACCUUGUCCCCAAGCCCAUAAUCCGAUCACCAGGUCUGACCAAGUCCACCCCCUCUGUGAUGGCUGACAACUGCUGGUGUCCCAGCCACCACCUCCCGGCCAUCCCCAGCCCUUACUUCACCCUCAGAUAGAGUCAUCUUUAACUGUGUCCUACCGAAGCCCUGGGAGACUUCCUUUCACCCCAGGGCAAAGUUCAAAGCCCUAAUAAAACUUAGUAGGAGGAAGAGGCUUCCAUAGAAUGAGAGCUAGUUCUGCUGACUUCCAGACCCAGCCCAUCCUCUCAACUAGGAUCUUAAUGUCACCUUUUGGGCUUCUAGAGCUACCCUCCCACCCUCAUUUCUUACUCUUUCCUCUCUGAAUCUUCCCACACAUAGAUCCUUUUUCCUGAAUGGACUUCCUCUUUCUUGGGUAAUUCAAGUUCAUACCCCAGGUCUCAAUUUAAAUAUCUACUUUCUGUAAGACGCCAUUCCUAAAAUCCCCUCUGUCUAGUGGACCCUUCUCCCUGUUCCUUUGAAAUGAUCUACCCCUGUGGUCCCUCAUCAUUGUCUGUUAACUUCGCAGUUAUCCCUAUGCUCUGUGAUGGCAAAGGCCAUGUUUCUAUUGUUCUGCUGGAUUUAUAGAAUCUACUAUAGUACUCAACAGGUAACAGGUACUUUCUAAAUAUUUCUUGAAUGGGGGAGUGGAUUAACUGAACGGGUUCAAUGCCUAUCUCUGGCAAUCUUGGUAAGGUCUUGCUAUGGGAAAAGAGCAUCAACUCUGGAACCAGACUAGGACCUACUUAAACCCCAAGUCCAUGAGUAGUGGGGUGCACUGGGGUUCUUUGAAGAAUGGAACCAACAGGGAACACAGUAUAUACAAAUAUAAACAAACACAUUAUGUAUACACACACACACACCCUAUAUAGGAUACAUAGAAAUCUAUCUAUAAUCUAUUAAAAUAUUGAGAUUGAGAUUUAUUUCAAGGAAUUGGCUCACACAUGAUUGUGGGGUUGGCAAGUCUGAAAUCUACAGAGCAGGUCACAGGCUUCAGGCUCAGGGAAGAGUUUAUGUCAUAGUUCAAGGCUGAGAAGUCUGCUGGUCAAAUUCCCUGCCCUUCAGGGACCUCACAUUUUAUUCUAUUCAGAUCCCCCAAAGGGAGAGAUGUACUGUAGCAGAGCUUCUCAAUGUUGGGCUUUUUCUGUUCCUUCUAUACCUAUCUCAUUUAGGGACUGCUCCAGAUGGAGAAAACCCUUUUGUCUGUUUGAAACAGCUGACUGUGUGCAGCUCUUUCAUUCUAUUUCCAUACCUGUGUUAAAGGGGAAUAAGGAAUGAAAAUUCACUGAGGUCAAAGUCGUGUAUGGAGUCUUCAGUGGCAGUUGGGGGUCAUACCCAGAUAAAAUUGGAAUUCUGUGCUCCUGUGGAUUUUAUUACCCCUAUCGAUGUUGGUUUCAGACACGUUCCAGAGUCAAUGGAUGCGAGGAAAACAAGACCUGAUUCCUAGCAAGGACCCACUGAGCUCCCUCUCUGUCCACAGACCUCACUAGCAUAUGUGCAUACAUGCUGCUGCGUGUUUGGCAUUGGUUCUAAUUUCCUUAAAAUAGUCAGAGAUAAUUUUGUGUGAUAAAAAAGGCUUAUUUCUUUGAUAAAUGCAAGACCCAUAGACCUCCUUCUAUUUUAAGCAAAAUUAGCUUUCAUUUUUUUUUUUUUUGUAAAAUAGGAGGAAAAAAUAUUGCCCAUCCUGUGUGUGGCCUGAAGGCAACCCUCAAAACAUCUGAAAGGUUAUCUGUCAAAGUUUUUAAAAGGAAAUAUAUUGUUCUUAAUUAUUCUUAUCUCAUUUUUAUAUAAUACUUUGUGGAUUUAUUUUUUUAAUCUAUAAUCUUAUGCCAAAAGAGGCCAUCUAGGCUCAUUUUUAUUUGCAGACUGAUACAGAGACAAAAUAUACAGGACUAUGUUUAACCAUUUUAAAUUCUCCUUUCCAUUCCUUUUCCUUUCAACUAGAAAAGGACUUUUGUGCUGCAGACCACAUCUGACCUAGGGUCAGUGCCUUCCCUGCAGACCAGUGGGGAAGGCCUGAGAGAGCUCUGGGCCAGCAGGCAGCCAUAUAUUUCUUCCAUAAUCCUGUGUGCGUGGGCGAAGUAUCAGGCAAAGGUAAAAAUAAAGUAUUCUGACUCCACAUAUGGUAUUUUGGGUUUACAAAUCCUUCAUAAACUUUUUCCAUUCCUAUCAGCAGUUUUAUUCAUUAUGGGACAUCCAGCGAGUCUCCUUUCGGGAUUAUUUGAGAAGCAGCAAAGACUUCCUGUGAAAGGAGCAUGUUUGCUGUAAGAUUUGUGCAAAGAUUGAGUGCCUGUGGGAGAAUAAUCCCGAUGUAGUCAGAUCUCAAAUGUUCGGUGGGGUUUCCCCUGUCAUGGACUUUCAUGUUCUCAGCACAUGGAUGCUGUAGGAGCGCAGCCCCUAUGAUGGAAAAGUGCAUUCUCGCUUUCCUCUAGAGUACCAGGGUCAUGUCUAUGAUCUGGCUGACGUGUUUUCUCCUUUCUGUCUGCCUUCAGUUUGUGUUUUUACUGAUUUGGAGGGUCCAGAAUGAGAAAUCAGGCCUGAAACUUACAAUUUUAAAAUUUAAAAACUGAGGUAGGCUCAAUGUAUCCUGGCAAAUUGAAAUCACGUCCGUAUUUCCAACUCUGUGAGCCACUGGGCUUUGCCCAGGUUUUAGAAAGAGUAUAUCUUGGAUCAAAAAUAGCCAAUAGAGGAGUGUGUCCCAGGAGGAAAAGUAUUUAGACACAGAUCCUUGGGUGGUCUCAUUCACAGGAACAAAGAGAAAGAGCCCCUACUGACCGAUAACUGGAGUAACAAAUGUCCAUGGCCAAGCUUGGCAUAGGAUGCUACAGCAUAUCAGUCAAUAUAAUUCAAAGCCCUGAUAUCUCUCUCUCUCUCUCUCUCUCUCUCUCUCUCACACACACACACACACACACACCUGUCUGCAUGAUUGCAAACUCUGUGCCCCUACCUGGAAUUGAUUGAGGAUGAAUGUACUGAAUAAAUCAAGAGUACAAGUGCCAGACUAGAUGGUGCCAUGCUUUUCUGUUUGCUUCCAUCCCUAGUCAUCAUCAGAUGAUGUUGAUUCCACCUACUAGGGACAAUACAAAUGUACCCUUUUAACCACAGGGGCACCACAUUGCACUUCAAUAAUUCACUCUCAGAGCUCUUUAUUAUUAUUCCAGGAGGGCGUCCUCAGCUGCAAUCAGACCAGCAUGUAUAUGGGAACCUUAGAGAAGGUCCCACCUUGUAGCUAAUAAAUGAAUAAAGCUUCAGCUUUGGCCCUUUUCAGUUGCACAGGCCUCUUCCAAGAGCUGGGAGGAGCCCUUGUAAUGUGUUCGCACUGUUGUGUAUUCUUGUAAAAUGUAUUAUAAGCAAGAUAUAUUUAGCCAUUGUUGGUUAAGACUGUUUUCUCUUUCAGUUCCAACUUCCCCUCCAUGUUCCUACUGCGGGGGUGUCAAUGCAGUCACGAGCACUCUGGGUCUCCAGCUAGAGGGAAGUUGAGUUGGGAAUACAUUUAGUGUGGGCUAAGGAGGGGAUAUUUUUGUGGUUGGUAGUUGUUUCCAAGUGCACUUAGGUUAUUGCUAACCUUCCUGGUGUAAGAACGGUUUCUAGGAACACUCCUACAGCCUCUGCACAGACGCAGCCAGCCACAUGACAGGAAGUAGAGGGCCAGCAUCAGAUCAUGAUGUAAAAGGGCCCUACCAGCCUCUGACACCAACCAUGUAUGUAGAGUCAAGGACAAGCAAAGUUUAAAAUGCACAAAGCAGGAAGCUUGUCUGUGGGAAAUUCUUCUGAAGUCUGAUGACUAAAUUGUAAGCAUUGGACUUUAUUUUCAGUAACAAAUAGAACAGAAGUCCUCUCCUUUCAGGAAUAUAGUAUGCCACAUUAUGUAUAAAAUCGCAAACGCAUGGUGCCUGUUUUCUCUUUUAAUGAGAAUUCUAGAGAAAAGUGUUAUUGUAAUUCCCAUGCUUUGACCUAUGAGGAUGGUAUUUGUUAUCAUCCUAAAAUUUGUAUUUUGUUGUGGUUUAUUUCCUCCUUUUAAAUAAUUAUUCCAUUUUGUACCAAAUUGAGUAUUCUUGGCUUUGAAAUUUCUUUUCCUUAAUGAGGACUCUCUAAGUCUUCUUUAAGCAAAAGGCCCUAGAAAAUCUGGAUCAGAAACAGUCUGUCCCCCAGGUUGUAGUCAGGCGGGUCUUUCUAAAGCAGGAAUUUAAUAGGUGACAAACCUUAAUACAAAUCCUUUGAUGAUUUUCAUCUCUUUAUAAACUGGCACCUGCUACUGCACCCUCUAUCUUCCUCCUUCCUCUCCCUCCCUGUGCACCAGAAACUGGCCAGCCCACAGCACCUGGUAUGCAUAGCUUUGUCAUUUGCUCCACCUCCUGUGCCCAUGUGUUUCCCUCUAAUCACAGAUUAUUUCAAAUAUUUGUUUGCUUGUUUGAUAAACUAUUGGUCCUUCAGAAUGUAGCAAGGCAAGGCUGAGGGUUGUAGAUCAGUGGUACAGCACUUGCCUAGCAUGCAUGGGGCCCUGGGUUCCAUCCUCAUCAUCACAAAAAAAAUACGUAGCAAGGGAGAAAAUUACACUGAUGAGCUGGAAACUGGCCAGGAGUAGCACUGGCAUAGGGUGGCCUGAAGGAAUUUAAGUGAUCACAGCCAGUCUUUGUGAGCUAGCAUAGGCCCAGAGCACAAUGAUCAGUAGGAAGUUUCCCAGAUAUACCCGGUGCCUGGGUUCUGGCUUGACAUAGAGCAGAUGCAGAAUGCAGGCUGUUAAAGGAGUUCAGGAAGCAUUCCGCUGCCUGUCCACCCCCUAGUGCUCUGCAGCAGAGCGGAUGCACCCUGGGCGGUGGCUUUUCUCCCAUUCCUGGCUCCAGGCUGGCUUCUUCCUACUUUAUAUCCUGUGGUGCUCUUUUGCUUCAAUGACUGUCUGGUCUGAAUUUGGGACAUUUCUGGCCACCCUCAUUCUUAUCCUCAAAUCCAGGGAUUCUGCUGUGUCCCUCUUUCAACACCAGAGCUGUGGGGAUGCCCUGGAGAAAGCCAUUUUUUUUCCUCCUUCAUUCUUCAUUUAUCAGGGUUGUCUCAUUUUUCUUUUCAUUCUUAAUUAGUAUCUCCCAAGGAAAUGAUAUCUAUAAAUAGAAUUCAUCUUAUAUUUGUGACUCAAGAGUCCAAACCACAUGUGUCCAAACCAGUGUGGUAAGUGCAGUCGUAGAUUUUCUUUGAUUUCGUGGGAUGGUAUUAUUAGCACCAACAUUUAUGAUAAUAAAGCAAAGGCCAAUUAUUGUUUACAACAUUUACUGAAAGCCUUUUCAAGCAAGCACUUUUUCAUUAUUUAGUGUGGGCUUUAAUUAGUCACAGGACUGUUAUGCUAAAUUAACUCAGAGUUCUAUUAAAAUGUGCAGAUUACAUCCCCCUCUUUAUUUCCUUUCCUGUCAUCUUCUCUCUGUGAGUGUGUCAUCCAAUCUUUUCCUUCAGUUCAGAGAUUUACAUGUAAGAAAGAUGGCGCCAAGUCCCAAUCCUCCCCUGCUGCCUUAGAAUGACAUUAUGUAUCAAGGAAAGAUAUAAGGAGACUCUGGGAAAUUUCCAGGCCAAAGAAAGCAAACAUUAAAUCUAUCAUUCUUUAGGCAUGGCCUCAGAGAACUUUGCAGAGCAAUCCGGUGCUUAGUUUUUUGGGGAAUAAUGGAAACAGUUUCCUUCACAUCCCCAAUAUUUCAUUUUCUACAUAUUCAGUUAGCUAAUAAAUAGCCACUCAGUUUCUCUGGCCAGACAGAGUGACAAAUACAGCUCUUCCUCUAAAUCCUACCAGCUGCAAAUACACAUAGAAAAAUUUGCUCUUCAGAUUAUGUUAUCUUCUGUGUUACUUCAUUUAGAAAGCAGAGGGAAGAGGCCUUAAGGACAGAGUCUGGCGUAUACCUGUCCUCAAAGAAGGUAGAAGUUCACCCAUUAUAUUGGUUCAUUUUCUGUAGCUAUAACUGAUACCAGACUGGGAAACAUUUUUUUUUUCUUACAGUUCUGGAGACUGGGAAGUCCAAGACUGAGGAGCUGGUGAGGGUAUUUUUGUUGGUAGAGACUCCAUUGCAGAAUCCCAAGAUGGCAUAGAGCCUUACAUGGUGAGACAGCUGAAGCAAGCCAAAGACAGCUCCAGUCAUGCCCUCAAUAACCAAUUAAUCUACUAAUCCAUGAAAUUAUUAAUCUAUCCAUGAGAGCAAAGCCCUUGUGACCCAAUCAACUCUUAAAGAUCUUACCUUGUUCUGUCUCCUAAUACUUCAAAAUGGGGAUUAAAUUUCAUCAUGAGUUUCAAUGAGUUUCAUAGUGCCAUUGUUCUGUCAACUUGACCUUGAGGAGAAAGUAAGAGAAGCAAGCAUGUCUCUCAGCCUCUUUUCUCCAGGCCAGAGAUCUAUAAGUAAGAUCAGUUUGAAAGUUGAUCUACCUGAAGUGUAUUAUGUUCUGUUGGAUUUUCCUUUAAAUCCCUACUGGGUGAAUGGGUUUGGGAGCUACUGAUAGAAGAUAGACUACAACUUCCAAAAUACAAUUUCACCCAGCUGGACUUGAUACCAAAUGUCAAGGACCAGAGAAUCAUAACAACCUAGACAUUUUUUUUCAAGAGUGAAAUGCUUUCAAGGACAUUUGCUGUUAUUCUAACAAACUACAGUCCAAUUUCUUAUUCCACAAAAUGCUGAUCCUUCUUUCAUCUCCUGUAAGAAAUAAGGGUUACAGUAGGAUCAAGGGCACAGGCUGGGAGUAUAAGAUAAAUGACAACUCACCACGCCUUCUAGAGGAUACAGAAAGGAGGUUAUUUAUUUUAUGCAAAAAUAGUUAUAACUCUUAUAUGUGCUCAGAUCUAUUUUGCCCCAAGAGAUAAGUAAUCUUUUUUUUUUUUUUCUGGAAGAUAAUUAAUAGUUUCUUAUCUAGAUUUCCCUUGUCCAAAUUAAGCUGCUAGGCAGGGUAGGAGAAAAACAUGGGCAUGUUCAGUGUGUUAAUUAUAAGGUUAUAAAAUGUAACCCAAAUGCAAUGGACUUAAAAAUUCUGAGAUCUGUAACCAAAAAUGAAUCACAGAAGGACAGAGAUACUGCAAAACAUUCAAGAAGUGACCAUUGCCAUUCAUAGUGAAAAACCAGCCUCUACCUCAGAGCAAAGCCUGUCCAAGGAAGGGGGCGUGACCUUUGUCCUUGGAAAGACCCACCGAGCACUCCUAGGCACAUACCCACCCUGCUGAGUUGUUUAUCUACAAAUACCAGGAGAGAUCUGCUGCUCCAGGUGUCCCUGACUAAGUCAGGCUAGGUGGGGACCCAUUGCAACUCCCUAGCAGCCACCAAUCAGCCUGAGACAGGGAAAUACCUGGGAUGCCAGAUGACCCUCCCAGUAGUUUAUGGUGGUUGAUAACAUGUUGGGAAACCAUGUAGUUCAGCACGUACACGCCUCGUGGCCUAAACCAAUCAGUUCAAACGAAUCCCCCUCUUGUAUUAACCAAUCACCCCUACCCAAAUUGUUCCCGCCAGUGAAUGUGCUAAUCAAUGUUAAGAGUUGUUUUAUGAUUUUUCCGCGGUGUGUGAUGAUUUGCUAAGAGAUGCUAUGAUGUAUGUGAAGUCCCUGCCUUCUCCAAAGAGUGUAUACAACUGCUGCAAACCCUGGGCUUGGGGCCUCUCAGCAUCACCAGUUGCUGUGUGAGCGUGGAGGACGGAGCUAGCUCACAAUAAACACCUCUUUGCUGCUUACAUGGAUCUUGGUCUCUGGUGGUCUUUUAGGGGUCCCGAAUUCGAGCAUAACAAUAGCUUAUUUAUCAUUUUUUUGAAUAAAACUUAUGUUCUCUUCUUUUUAAUUUUUUUGAUUUGUCCACUCUUUCAAUGGGUUAUAUGAAGUGUUGGGUGGAAGGAUUGGAUACAACCACAACAUGGAUAUUUUGAGACUGAGAUGUGUUCAAUGCUUUGAAAAGUCAAUAGACAAGCUAAGCAAAUAAAGACUCUAACUGGCAUCAAGUUCUCCGGUAUCUACAUUGCUUAUCUGGUCCAUACCCUGCACUCUAAGGGACUGAGAGCACAUGGCAAGCCUAAGAGGUCAGCAGGCAGGCUGGCCUCCACUUGGAUAGUUUUUUGCUAAUGUAACUGUGAAGGUAAGGAAGGACUAACAAAGAGACAAAGGGAAAGUUUUCCUACUUCCAAAUCUUGUGAUAACCUGGUAUUUGGACUUGAAGCCAUGUCCUCCUGGAGUUGGGGUGGAUUCCUCUUGUUUUACUUUCUCUUGAGCAAACCCCUUUGGUGCUAAUAUCUUACAUCAAAUCUGAUGCUUUCAUUUUCUUCAUAAAUCUCAUUGACUCCCACAAAUUGCAUUUUGUUUUUAAAAAAGUUGGAGAGAAGUUUGAAAAUGAAAAAAAAAAUUCAUAUUGCAUAUACGAUAUUCACUUUUAUAUUCUUAGUUGCCCAAAUUCUAUCCUUUUGCCUGAUUUCCAGGGCAGAAUUCUGCAGGGAAACCAUUUAGCUAUUCACACUUCUCAUAAACACUCAGAGCAUGUAAGCAGCGAUCUGGAUGCCCAGGCCCACCUCUAGGUGCCAAUACUCUCCUACUGAGGCCAGAUUUAAAGAUAGGUUAGUGUAGUUAGGUAGAUUGGGGUCUAAUAUCCAGUACAAUAAAGAAAAUGGAGACCUUAUGGAGUCCAGAUGACCAGAACAACACCUGGGGAAAUUGAAAUGUUAAUGUCCCCAAGGCCAGAACCCAUCCUAAAGAAUUGCUAAUGAAGUAGCUCCCAGCAAACCCAGAGGUGCUAAUAAACCACCCCAGGCCCUUCCUUCCCAGAUUACUCCUCCCUGCCCCAUCACUCAAUCUCCCACCUUUUGGCCUUCCCACCUGCAUUCUAUCACUGCAGGAUAGAGGGAAACAAAGGACAGGAAUGUGGGAGGACUAAAAGAAGACUUUAGCUAUAAAAAAGGAAAGACCUCCCCCUUCCAUGGAUUAUGCCUUUCGGGUCCCCUAAAUCCUCAUGGAGGAAGUCUCUUCAGUGUGCUUCUCUGGUGUUAUACUUCAGCAUUGGGAAACAAGGACUGGUCACCAGUUAACAGUACUAACAAUACUUGGCAGGUGGAGGGAGUGGAGCUGGGACUUUGGGAGGAAAGGGUUUCUACUCCAAACAAAGUCAGCUGCCUUAGUUCCACAUUUCUUUAUCCUCUGUUGCCUUCCCAUACAUUUCGGUGUUCUACUACAUUUCUCUCCACCUCUUUCUUUCCCAUCCUCCUCCUUUUUCUUUUUGGUACUGGGGAUUGAACCCAGGUGUGCUUUACCACUGAGCCACACCACCAGCUAUUUUUAUCUUUUAUUUUGAGACAGGGUCUCACUAAGUUGCUGAGAUCGGCUAUCCAUUUUACUCAAUCUCCCAAGCCGAUUACAGGCAUGCACCACCAUACCCGGCUCAUCCUCCCUCUUGAGUUUAAAUCUGCAUUCCAGAAUCUCUCCACCAUGGGCCCACCUGCCUCUGCCACCCAAUACUGAAUGUCUCCCGAGCAUCCCACUAUGUUUCAGGUGUGGCACAUACUAGAUAUGAUUAUUCCAAGUGGCUGGUUUUUGGCAAGUCCCAUAUUGUACUUUGCCAAUCACAUUUUUCCCCCUAAAUAUUCAAUCCUUUGUGUAUUUUAGGAGGAAAUUUAAUCCAUCUGUUUCUGGUUCAUUUGCUAUUACAGUAAUUCUCCAGAACCUUUUGUUUUAAGACUUAUUUGAUGUUCAAGAAGCCUUAUGAACUUUUUCACAGGAUUUUGAAAACAUCCUUCCUAGAACCAGGAAGCAGUCUUUGGCCAGUUAUCAAUCAAUUUCAACAUGACACUGUGUGAUUUUAAUUGAAGACCUUCAUUAGCUGAAAGGUGUCCUCUCACUCCUAUUAUGCAAUUGUUCAGACUACAAUAGGCUGUUGCAUCCCUCAGGAAGAUACCUAAUUAGGAAAGAUUACUUGUACCUAAUUAGGAAAGAUUACUUGUACCUGGAGGGCAAAGCCUUACUCUAUAUCAACAGUUGCAGGGUGAGGUGGGUGGGAAGCCCUAAGAAGAUGGCUUUAGAGUUUAAACCCUUUAUGAUAAUUCUUGCACUGUAAUGAAUAUGAAGAAUCUAAGAGCCAAUCAUCCUGGUUACUGAUAGGAAGACUCAUACAUUACAUCAUUAAAGCUGUUCAAUAGAAUUGGAUGGUGGCUAAAGUGGGAUUUUGUAUGAGAUUAAGUCUUUGGGGAUGGAUGUCACUGUAAGUGGAGUUUCUUGUACAAUGAUAUGUAGACAACGGUGGUGGGGAGGGGGCUAGAGUUUUCAUUCCAAGAAAGUGAAAGAAGUGAGAAUAGCUUUCACAGUUGUAACUUUGCUAGGCCUGGGAAAUUGUAUACGGAGUGAAGUGUAGACUGGUUGUUGAGAUGUCUAGACCAUUCCUUCUGUAGGUGUGGAUAAGGAAUUUGCUACAGGAGGAAAAGUUGGGGUAGCAAGUGUUCUCUGGGAAAAUUAGUCUCUAAAGGUGCAUACAUGGCAUACAGUCAUGGCAUCCCAAACAACUAGUACUGAAUGCUCAGUCUAUGAAGAAUAUGAGUGGGAACUGGGGCUUGGUGGUGUUCACCCUUAGAGGUCGGUAUGCAGCCAGUAUGAGCUGGGGUCCAUUCUGGUGGGUCAUUGCCCAUGUUUUGUUGGUGGCUAAUUACUUUGUAGCUUUCUCUUUUGGUUUACAAAUUGUAAGUCAUGCACAAGCUUUCCAGAACAUCGUUGGGGUUUGAGAGCCAUGACAAGCAGUAAUAAGCAGCAAUUGAUUUUGAUACAAAACAUGUAUCUUCCACCAGAACAGUAUUACACAGAUUGCAUGGUAGGAAUCACACCAGGAACAAUUAUGAGAGAAAAAAGUUAAUUGGUUGAGAAGAGAGAUCCAGUUUUAUCACAGUUAGGAGCCCAGCUAUAGGCUACCUUCAGACCUGUACCACCUCGAAUUCAAAAAGUGAAUUUUUUGUGUGGUCAAACAUGAGCCUUCUUUCCAGGGAAUGGAAAGCUUCUUGAAUGGCCAACUUGAUAGGAGCAGCAGUCAGUACAGGCCCUGUCCUUUUCACCAGAAUCUUUUCUCCUUCUUCACCACGUUUACAAAUCCUAUACAUCUUUCAAGUGCAGCUGAAGCCCCAUCUUUCUAGGCAACUUCCUUUGGUGUCCUACAUGGCAAUCCUGUUCAUUUUCUAGGUGGACACUGACAGUACAUGAAGUUUUGUUGGUGUUUCUUUGCGUGGGUAGUCUUCUUAUAGAUAUGUGUCUAGUCUUCACUAUUAUGUGGUUACAUUCUCCAGGACUAGGAUUCUAUCUGCCCUGCUUUGGUUUCUAAUGCCUUACCCAGAACUUGCUAUACAGAAAAAUCCCUGAAGCUCCCAAUGCCUUCUGAACACUAUUGUCAUUCCAUGUGGCCACACUGCACAGUUUUUUGGUGAAUUUUUUCAUCUGAGUGAGAGAAUAUGCUGCUGCGAAAGAAGGUAAGAAAAAGAGAUCAGGCUAUAGCAGAAAUGAGAAUCUGAGAGGUGGCCAUGGUGGAAUGGGAAGGGUGUUUAUGGUGGUACCUGCACAAAAGGCCACUUAUCUGUGUGUCCUGGGCAUGAUGAGAACUCAAAGUCCACGACAGAACAAAAACAAGCAUUUGGCUUUAGGUUCAUGAGGUCAGACAAUAUGGAGCAGCCAGAAUUGCUGUCUUCUCUUUUGGGAACUUUCUGUUUUCCUGCCUGGUAUAUCUCACCAAAAUGAGGAUGCAGAUCAGCAACACUGUUAUACCAUAUUUUCUCUGUCCCCUUUCUCUCUCUAGUACAGAGAACAUAUGCCAUCCCCAUGAGGGACACUUACUAAUUCAAUAUAAUUUAAAUCAAACUUUACUUACAGUGUACAUUUUAUGAAAUGCCCAGUGCUUCAGCCUAACAUAAUUUUAAGUCACUCUCUGAGCUCUACUAUCUAUAUAUAAUGCCACCUCCUUUUAAAUUUAUUAAUUUACACUAUUUUUUAUUGUACCGGUAACCCACUGUAACAAAUUUUCAAUGUUAGAGGCUUUCUUCUGCCCAGAAAGCAUGCCAAGAGAUAAUAUGGUGUGAAACCAAGGGAAAAGCAGAGACAUCGACCUAGACAGUCUUGUGAGAAAAUGUGAGUGACUAUUUGCAUCAGUAACUGUCUUUAAUGCCACUUGGAGGCCAUAUGACAAGUCAGAAAAAGAAAUGUUGGAUCUGGAUCUGUGAAUGUAGUUGUUCAUUUGGACCAGCACAGGAUCAGGAAUAUCUAUGGGAAAGAAGCUAGAAUGGAAUUUUUUGAAGAAUGAACUGGAGGUAAAAAUAGAGACUUUUGCAGAAUAUUUUCAUUGCGAUUUUUAUUCUCCUCCUAUUAAGCAGAUGACAAGGGCUGCAUGUUUAUGUUCAUGAAAAACUUAGGAAGAGAAUACAAUGCACAGACUAGGAAGAGAGAACAGAGAAUCAAUGAAAGAUACCUCUUCAGGUAAUUACUCUCGUGUCCAACUACAUUUUCAGGAGGAUAUGUAAAAAGAUCUUACAUCCUCCAAUUCCAUUCCAGUGACUUCCAGGCCUGAAAAUCACUGGACAAGAUACAAUUGUUAUUUGUGCCUUUUCCAUAUAUAUUUAUUUUAAAAGAUUUUCCAUAAAUCAGCAUUUUCUGAAUGCACAGUAGUAAGCAUGAAGAAUUUUUUUUCUUCUUUCUUCCUAAGAGUUACCUUAAUUUCAAUUUUUUUUUUGGCUAAUUUGCAAAGCUAAAACUUAAAUCAAUGACAAAUAAAAUAAGAAAGAGUGAACAUCCUGGUAUUCUUUCUGAAUUCUCAUGUUUCCUGUGCAAAUUAUGAUAUUGGCUAUUGAUUUAUUAUCCAUAUUCUUCCCUGUGUCAUGGAAGUAUCCACUUAGUAGCAUGAGUCUUAAUUUUGCAUUAACAUAAAAAAUGAAUGUUUCUGUUUCAAGAUUUACUACAAUGAUAAUAUGAUUUUCCUCCUAGAACUUACUGUGACAAAUUAUAAUGGAGUUUGCACUUCUAAUCCAUUCUUGCAUUCUUAUAAUAAAUUCAACUUUCACACAAGUAUUUGUUGUCUGAUUAAUUAGAUUUUUGUUUAAGAAUGUUUAAGAAUAUGUAAGACAAUUUUUUAUUGUUCAUAUUUUACAAAGGCCUGUUUUCUUUCUUCUGUUACAUUGUCCAAUUUUUGACAUAAUAGCUGUGCUAAAAUGAAAUAGAUUGUUUCUCCUAUUUUUCCAAGUAGCAGAUUAUAUUAGUUAAGGUGGCUCUGUCUAGUUGUUACCACCAGCCACCCUCAAAUCUCAGAGGCUAAACCCAAUAUGUUUAUUUCUUUAAUUCUCAAUGACGACAAAGUUGAAUGUGGGCUGGGGGCUGUGGCAUGGUAGAGCUGAUUCAUUCUGGCUCAUGAGAACUGGUUGUGUGUCUCCUCCCAAUUUUGUGGUCACACUGUGACAUCACAUUGGUUACCUAAAUUCAGCCAGAGUGGGAGCACUUCAUUAUAGAAACUGACAAGUGCUACCAAGAGAAUCCCCCAUCUCUACCACCAAAAGCUGAUUGUUCGACAUUUACCAGCUCAUCACCACUUAUUGGAUGGAUCUCCUGGGCCUCUGAGUGAUGACUCAAGGUUCCUGUCUCUAUUCCAUCCUAUGAUUCUGAGCUCUCAGGGUGCUUCACUUUGAGCUGCAAGAAAGGGGAGGGGAGCCUAUAAGGGCCUCUAGGACCUUUUUAUAGGUCAGGACUGGAAGUAAUUUCCUUCAUUUUUUUUCCCUGACAUUCCACUGGCCACCACUUAUCACACAGAUCCGUUUAAAUGCAAGGAAUAUGAAAAUGGCAUCCUUCUAUGUGUAUAUCUCCUUUGGGACAUUUCAUUUUGUCUACUUAUCUGUCUAUUCUGGCCCUGGACUAAGUUUUCUCAUUGCUAUAGUUUCCUAUUUUGCAGGUCCAUUUCUCCUUCCUUGCCCUCACCUCUGCAAUAUUUUAUUUUAUAUCCUUAACACUUUGAUUUUAGCGACCAUUUCUCAAAUUCUAAGGAAAAAAAUCCCAUUUGUACUAUAUUCAAACCGCAUGAAAUCUAUAGAUUUUUGAGGAUAAAAUUGACAGAUAUAUAUGUCAAAAUAAAUCCAUAUUACACUGUGAGGUUGACUAACAUUAAAUAACUCAAUUCCUAGAAUUGAAUCUGUUAGAGCAAUUAGGUAUUUUUUAAUAAUCUAUUCAAUAUUGAAUGAAUGCAAAGUGAUUUAGAAUUUUCACAUGUAAUUGACAAAUAGGAUUGCUUUUUAGUCCCAGCCUUGAUCUUUCCUCCCCAGUUCCCUUUUUAUAUCACUGUCAGAUUUUACUCCACACCUGAGAAAAAUAAAUCAAGAAUGAUCCCAUCCUUUUCUAUGCAUGAUAGCAGUUCAAUGGCCUGAUUCUGUUCCUUGAAUCAUCUGACAUUAUUUACUAACUUUUAAAAUGUAUUCUACUGUUUUGUUUCCUUUUAUUGUCUAUUUUUUUGCAUCAAUUAUUUUAGUUAUUUGAGUCUUAGAAAAUUAUUCCUUUAGUUGAAAUUUUCAAAAUCACUAGCACAAAACUGAUCAUGGGAUUUGUGCCAGGGGAAGGAGGAGUGGGGAACAGACUGGGUUGGGGCACUUUCUGAGAUAAUGGGAAGUUCUACAUCUUGGUUAUGGUGUGCUUUCGUGAAGUAUAAAUUUGCCAAAACUGAUGGAAAUUUACACUUGAAAUCGGUGCAUUUUACUGCAAACAAUCGGUAAUUCAAUAAAGCUGAUUUCUUUACAAAGUCUUUUAUAUUCACUUAUUUUCAAUGUAUCAGUCAAAUACAAAAUGUAGUCAUGUUUUUCAAUUUUAUGUUUGUGAUCAUAAUAAGAAUGCUUUCAUCUUUCAUUUGAUUUCAUUUUGUUUUGUUUUCUGUUUUAAGGUUUUCAUGCAGUUUCUUUUGUUUACAGCUCUUGUUCUCUAAAUUGGUUUCUUUUUUUGAUUUUUUUUUUCAUUAGAGAAGGAGAAGAUGUGAACUUAAUUUUCAAUUCUGAUUCCUCUGAUUCUCAAUGUCAAGAGUUAAGCAGUAUCUACUGGCCUCCCGGAUGAAGAAAGCAGCUAUCUUAACUUCUUCCCAUCAUCAGCCACAUACAGUGGGCUCAGAGCAAGAGCACCAUCAUCAUGCAUCAUCUUUGGGUUGAUGGCGAGUAUCUCCUCAUAGAAAGGACAAGUUCACUGGUACAAUAUCCAUGACAGUGUCAGGUACCACAUGUGCUUAUGAAAUGAAUGCAAAUGUGUAUUAGAAAAUAAUUUUAUUGGUAGGACACUAGAAGUGAGAAAUAGUGAUCACCUUGGUCUCAAUUUCUUGCUUCUUAUUCAGUACUAAUGGUAACUGGAAGCUCUCAUCCUGCCUAACAUUGACCAAGCAAUGUGUCAGUUUUACGAGUUGGGUAAAUGAGGAAAAUAACUGCUAAUAUCUAAUGUAAAACAGGAAUUACACCUAGUCUCUGGAGAUGAAAGCUUCGUAUACAUACCACACUGCCAUCCUCUCUCCAAGAAUUAUAAUCUGCAAUUUAUUAUGGAAGAGGGUGACCCAGGAUCCUGGUUGGUCAGAGGUUAAAGAAUAUUGUGGAAUGAAGGGCUCUCAUUGUGCUAAAACCCAAGGUCUCCAACAAACCAGGGAAGUUCUAGAAAAACUGGAAUGAGCUGACUACCCUAAAUAUCCAGCUGACACAUAAGGCAUUUUAGUGACAUAGAUGACACAAUGUGUUUUAUAGCAAUAUAGAAGAGCCCCUGCAUGAGUCUGAAAUUUUAGAUAGCUGGUUAUAAGACUGCUAUACAGCAUGGUCACUAUAGCAGAUGGAAUUUACACAGUAAGUAAUUUUUCACAUGAUCUGAGAGGGUUUCAAUAAAGGAUCAAACUUUGAUGAUAUUUAUAGAUCUCGAGGACCCAGGGACCAUGCUUGCCCUGGCAAUUGCACGUCCUCUCUCAGGUUUUGGAGACUGUGUUGAAACUUACAGACUCUUUCUGACUCUGCUCUGCUGUCAUCAAAAAAAUACCACACAUUGAACAAAAGUGCCAAGUCACCGGACCCAUGGGGUUAGCUCAUUUCGAAAACGGAACUGGCCUUUCUACCCAAAGCCAGAGAAAUGUUGAAAACAUAAAACAACAAAAAAUCUGUGGUGUGUUUGUAAAACCCAAGACUCUAACCCUGAUCUAAACCAGACUGCUCUCCUCCUGGCUUCCUCCCUUUUUCCCUUAAUUAAGCUAACUGGAAAGAAAAGGCUUUCAUCAGAGCAAGACGGCAAUCUUCCUACCCUCAUCUCUAGGACGAAACAGAGAAUCUGGUCUGGAAUUGAAUUUGAAAUAUUAAAGAAAAAUGACUACCAGCUUAAUGCUGUCACUGUCCUAUGUUUAUUUUUCUUUCUUUUAUGUCUGAUGUCAAGGAGAAAACAAUGUCAUCUACUGGAAACUUGAGCAUGUUUGCAUUUUGAGAUAAUUAGAAUUAAUGUUGGAGGGCCAAACCAGCACCGAGCAGUCCCUGUGCUUCCCAUGUGUGUAAAACAUUUUGUAAUGACUUUCACUUAAUCUGGGAGCCUGGCAGGCUGCCACAAGCCACCUAGAUCCAAGCAGCAAAGUUACUUUUUCAAAAAGGAAAAUUGAGACGUUGGACGUUAGAAAUUAGGGCAUCGGUAAAAUAGUUAGGACUCUGCAGAUUGCUUUAUCGUUUUGCAUUUCUCUUCCAUCUAUAUUUCUUCCUUUUACAGCUUGGAGGAAUGUGCUUCCAGCACACACAGCAUGCAGCAGCAGAUCUGCAUCAUCCCUCAGCUAUUGUGAAGGAGAGUCUAUCAGAGGAAGGCACAGCAGUGAAUGUCUGUAAGUAUCUCUAAAGCCGAGGAGUCAGGCUCUGAGAGAUCAUCUGUGAGAUUUGUUCAGUGAGAGGACCCAGACACAAUGGAUACUGGUUGGAGGGCAGGCAGUAGUUGACAGGAUGUUUAACUUUUCCAUAAACUGUUUUGCCAACUGAACACACAGUCUGUGUGAUUCAUGCAUAAGAAGCUCUUGCUUAAAAUCUUUCAGUAGCCUACCAUUACCCACAGGGUAAAAACCCCAAUUCCUAAACCUCUUGGUAUGAAGCUCAAGUCUUUUUUUGAAUCGUGUCAUCCUCAACUCCCUAGAUUCAUUUCCUUAGUGCCACAAAUCAGAUACCAAACGCCUGGCAGUUCCCUGAACAUAAGAUUCUGUUCCGUGUACAUCACUCCUUUCCAUUUGUAAGGGUAAAAGAAAUUGAAGUUAAAGCGUAAAAGUUAAAGGGUAAAAGACCGGGUGUUGUAAAGUUUCUAAGCUGCAAGGUCUGAGUUAAAAUGUAAAGGAUUAGGUAUUGUUAGGUUUCUAUGCUACCUGCAAAACCUGAAAUUUCUGUAGCUGUUGAGACAAUGCUUGGAACUGCCCAGUAAAUAUUUCCCCUGACUAUUGGUUGUUUAAUAAGGGCUCUGUGUGGUCGCACGUAGGCAUUGCAGGGCCUGGACCAAUCAGUUUAAAUGUAACCCCCUCCUUAGGAAUGACCUAUCACUCCAGCCUGACCUGUUCCCGCCAAUGAAUGAACCAAUCAUGUUUAGGAGUUGUUAUUCAAUUUUCCCACGCCUCAUGAUGAUUUGUUCUGAUGUAUACAAAGCCCUCCGCCCUCCCCAAAAAGUGUACUUAAGCAGUGCUCAGCCCCUGCUCGGGGCUCUGGGCUGCUUUCCCUUCUUGAGUGGGCACGGAGCCCCAGCAUGCUGGUUCAAUAAAUCCCCCUUCUGCCAAUUGCAUGAGUGGUCACUUGGUGGUCUCUUUCUCCGACGUUUCGCGGGACCCUUACACAUUGAGGAGGCUACGAUUCACCUUCAUGCAUAAUCUAGCACUUUGCAUCUGGGAGGGGCUCAAUAUUUUGUUGUACAAAUGAAUUUCAAAACUUUAUGCAAGCAUCACUUUUUCUGACUCCUCCACAUGGAAUACGGACUCCGUUCUCUGGGCUUCCACAAUUUUUAGAAUGUGCUUUUAGUACAAUGGUUCAAAACCAAGCCAUGGUUUUGCCUCCCUGGAAUAUCUGACAGUGUGGGGUAAUAUUUUUGGUUGUUGCCCUAGGAGGGUGCUACUAUCUUCUAGUGGGAAGAGGUCAGGAAUAUUGCUAAAUAUUCCACAAUGUACAGGAUAGCCUCCACAACAAAGAAAUAUCCAGCCCAAAAUAUCAACAGUGCCAAGGUUCUGUUUAGCAGAACUCAUUUUUUUAGAAUCGUCAUCUUGGGGGAUAUCUGUCUCCUCUGCUGAUUGGUAAGCUCCUUAUGUCAGGGUCCAUAUCUUAAUUAUCAUUGCAUUCUCAUUGUUUAACACAAUGUCUGGCAUUUGCAAGAUAAAUGUCGAAUGAGUGAACAAAGGGUCAGAGCAUUGCAGAACUACUGAGUAGUAAUCACUCUCUGAGGAAUUAUGAAAAAUACAGAUAUAGCUGUUUUCCACAUGGGACAAUAUGAAUUCUAAGUUGCCCAGCUUCAAGAAAAUGGCAUCUCUCCACUCUUUUCACUCCAUACGGAUUUUUUUUUCCCCAAUGGUUCAUAACUUUGCCAGUAGUACUAUGUCGGGGAGCCCCUUCUGCCUUGGGAGAAGUAACUUCUACAACGCUGCACUUUUCUCAACCCCUAAAAAUUCACACUAAAGGUUGACAUUCUAUUUUUAUGCCAACUCUCAAAAGCUUGGUCUUUGUAAUUGGUGUCAGCUAUAGCAUUUCAGAAUGCCCCAUAAAUAGACCCUGUUUGGGAGCUUUUCGAAGUGCUAUUUUGAUACUUCUUCCCCGAGUAUUCACUUGGACUCCAGCCAUUUGUCAGGGGAACCAUUUGAAAAGGCAAUUUGGAAGCCCACCCACAUGAUCCUGGUAACUCUUUCUUCUUGCUGAUGGUAUUAGACUAAAAUUGGUCUGGUUUUGACUUUACCCACCCCUCUCACUAAAUAACUAGAUUAUGUUUAGAAUAAGAACUCAAAGUAUAAUGGAUUAACUGUGGAGUUUGUGUUUCUUUAGCAAGAACCUCCUCUUUGCAUUGUAAUUCCUCCAUAGAAUUGUAUUUUGCUUGGAAAAACUGCAAGCAAAUUAUGGCCAUAGUUGAUGUUGUCAUAAUAAAAAUGUGAGGGGUACGAUUUUUAUUUAAAUUUGUCCUCCCAGGAGUAGCCAGGACAUUUAGGGAGAAUCAUCCUGCUUUGCUAAACAUUUGGGGUGGGGUUAUCCUUACCAAACAAAUAAAAGUAUGCACAGUUCUGUUUAGAUCCCUGUGAGAAUUAAGCUCACUUGGUAACAUUUUUUUCCAUUGUUCCAUGAGAGAAUGUCACCCAACAGUCUUUGUGAAAUGUGAAUUUAUUAUAUUGAAGAUUAUGUGUUGGACUUAAUAAAAUAAUUUGUGAAUGUUAAUGAGCAUGUUUCACAAUGACCAUUUGCUUUAUUUUAAAAAAUAAACAAAUAAUUAUCAUGCAUUAUGACAUGCAAACAGUAGAUGAAGAUUUAAAGAAACAUAGCACUUGAAAUUGACAUUAUAUCCAAAGAACUUGGAGAGGGACCAGGAUGCAUAGCCGCAAAAGUCGUACAGAGAGACCAUGACAAUGACUGAUUGGCAGCUAAGUCGGGGAGAAAGGCAGAGUUCAUAAAAUGAAGUAGAUGUAAGUAUGGAUUAAAGAUCUUAGAGAAGCUUUCAUCAAAGAAAUAGAAUUGAUGAAUAGUUUUUCAAACCCUGUUCUGGAGCAUCCUGGUACUUAAAUUUGUAACCCUCAGAAUGGUCAUAUGAUGGGUUUGCUUAAUGUAUGUCUUCUCUUUCUCUGAUCUUGUCAGCUUCUGGAGGGCAGAAGCUGCAGUUAUCAUCUCUUAUCUGCAUAGCAGUUGGCACAGUGUCUAUUAGUGAGAAGAUCUCAGCAAAAGUUAUAGUUGAAUAGAAAUGGACAAUUCUCCUUGGUAUCACUUCUUAAAAGUGCCCACUAUCAUGACAUCAGAACCAGACACCAAAGAAUUUAUGGUCUUCCAUAGUGUCAAAGGAGGAGGAGUAGCCAAUUGCAGAUCUGCAAUCAUGACUCAAUACCAUAGUUUUAUUUUGUUUUUAUUUAUUUUUUUUUAUUUUAUGUUUUUUUUUGCUGGAUCAAAGUCCAAUUGCUUUUGUUCUUUUCAAGGGUUAUAAAGAAUUAGAAUUUGACCUUUGUGUCCACUUAAAAUAGUUUAUUCAGUUUUAAUCUCCCAUCCACAUUCUUAAAAUGACUCAAUGCAAAAUAAUUCAAAAGCCACAUUUAAAAUAAAAUCAAAUUCUGCAAGUCAAUGCCUUCAUCUCUUUUUUCAUGGCCUAAUUCACAACUUCUUUAGAGCCUGGAAUCUACUCCAGGGCAACUCUGCAAAUAUUCGGUAUUUAAUUGCAGUUUGUAGUUUGGGAUCGUUAUUCAUGCUCAUGAAUUGCAUUGAAUUUACACAUAAAUUUUACUUGUCUAAUUUACUAAUUACUGAGAAGGGGUAAUGUGGCGGUAUCUUAAUCUAGGAAAAACAUCUCAAACGCUUUUGCACACGUUUUGUAUUUGGCAUAACCUAAAACACAUUUCCCCACAAAAACUUUUUCCCUUAACUCUUAAGCCCCUGAGUAUUUCAAUGGAAACACAAUACUUUUUAUCUGGAUUCAUUUACACUCUCAUUUACUCAUCAGCAUGGUGUUUUGUAAGAGAUAUUUAAUAUUCUCCAAGAGCCCUUUUUUCUCCCGCACAUUUCAAAGUUUUUCCUGUAGGAAACACUGUGUUCCAAGCCAUAAAUUGAGUCUGAAUCCAGAAAACAGGAGUUGGGGGAAGCCAUAAAUUCCAAAUGAGUUCCAAGUAGUACUGAUCUAAACUGCCUAUUAUACAUAUAAUGUGGUUACCAAAAUGAGGAUCGAGUGCUCUGAAUGAAGAAGACUUUUUAAAUCUGGCGGCAUUAAUUUACCACCAGUGCAGAUGGUUAGGAAAUAGUAACUUGCAUCCUCUCUUUCACUUGGUUGACUGAAGAUGGCUUCUUUUUCAGGAAACAGGUGUCACUACUGAAGAAUUCUCUCUGAGAGUAAUCAGCUUCCCGUGGAGUAACUUUCUUCUCCUGGAAAUGAAGUCUCAGCAUCAUGAGUAACCAGCCUGUCACAAUAGCCAGAGGAUUCUCCCACACAGGACCUGCUGAAUAAUACCAUACUGGUGCUAACUCUUCCUGCAACUCAUGCAAGGCUGAUAGCUAACUAUCUUGGUGAAUUUAUUUUUAUUGCAAGUAUUGGAAAACAGUUCUAGUGAGCUAGUUAAAAAGGACAUUUGUUGGAAGGAUACCAAAGCCUUCCUUAGGAAUUCAAAGAAAAGUUAAAAAUCCAGUUCCUUAAGAUACAGGACCGAAGGGAUAGUGUCAAGGAGGCUGCUAGGAGCCCAGUGGGACAGGUGAAUUGGACAAAUCAUAGAACCCAAUACACAGGUUGGGCAGUCAGUCACCUGGUGGGGUCUAAUAGUACCAACUAUUAUAAUAGCUUCCUAACUGCUUAAACUUUGAUCUGUUCUUUCCUUCUUCUUCUCUUCAGUGGGGAUAUUGUGGCCACCCUAUUUACUUUGAUUUUAAAAUUACUUUUUCCUUAUAUUAUAGUAAUUACAAUACUAUUUAUCUGUAGUGCUAAAUAUAUUAUCAUUUACAGAUUUCACAUGAAAAAAUUUCCUCUUAUUUUCUAUAUUAUUUGCUUAUGUUGACUCCUGAGACUAAAGGUUUUCCACAUGAUCAAACAAUUUUUAUAACUAACUCACUCUGGUCAUGGAAGAUAGCUUUCUCUCCAUCACAGUGAAUCAAAAAAUUCUCUUCAACUCUGAAAGCUUAUAACCGAUGGGAUUUUUUCUUUGUGACAAGAAUAUCCCCAAACCUAAGAAACCCGGAUUUGAGCAAUUUAGUUUCUUUCUUUCAAAUAUUUCGUUUCCAAAUAAAAUAAUUUUAAAAGCAAUUAUUUCAUCAAUACAUCUCCCUGAAUGGAUGCACAUGAAACUAAUGCUUAAUUACUAAUCACAUAAAGUCAUAAAUUCAUCUUUUUCCAAAAUAAUAGGAUUUAUUUAAGAAUUUAUUUAUGAAUUACUGAUGGAAAAUCAACAGUUUGUUUGGAACUACUUAAGUCUAUGCAUUUCAGAUAUGGUGAAUUUCUGUUUGUGGCCAAAGGAUGCAAAACUUAUUCCUUACAACCCUAGACAUUGUAAAAAAAAAAAUUAUCCUAUAUCUAAGAAGUAGACCUAUUUAAGGACUGAAAAUAAAACAAAGCCUUAUUGAAGGCAGUUUCUCCAGCUACACUAUUUACUGGUGUGCUUGCCAACAUGAAUCCAAAGUGCUCUUUCUGGGGAGUCAUCACAUCCAUGUUCCAAAGGUUUAAAAAUCCUUGCAGAGAGGAAAGUCAGUAAUGUGGUCUUUCUCUUUUCUCUGAUUUUACUGGGUCAAAAGAAAAACCUGUAAACAGAGCUUGCUUUAAUCAUCUGCCAAACACAUGGACCCAAGGUUUUCUUCCAAGGGGAGGAGGUCUUGUGGUCAGUCCAAGGGAACAGUACCCACAAGGAGGGAAAAAUAUGCUUCAGGAAGCACCUUCUUCUUAGGUGUACAUACAUUCAACAUUUUUAACUCUCUUGGAAGAUAAUAUUCAGAAGGCAAGAGGCAUCAAUAGUAAAGAAAUAAGCUAUUGGUAGAGAGCACGGAGGCAAUAUAAUAUUUCAUCUAUUCUCAAUAUGGCACUGCACAUGCUUAUAAAUUAACAUGGGUCUGAAAGAAAUCAGGCUGUGGUCAAAUAAAAAUUUGAACUUAAAAUGCCUUAAAACAUGUUUCUAAUCGAUUAUAGGUUUUUGCAUAGAAGCUUUAGAAGGAUAUUACGGUUUGGAAAUAUUUAUAAUCAUAAAGCAAUAAAGCAAAAGGGCAUGAAGAGAGACAUCAGUACCAUGCUCUGGUUUAGCAGAUGAGAACUAGAGAAAUGAGUUCCUCCAAAUGACCUGGUCGUUAUUUAGGAGAUUGUAAACCAGAAUUGGAUUUCACGACUUUUAAUAGUAUUUUCCAGUUCAUUUGGAUUGAAGUAUGAAUUCUGAUUUAAGGAUUUGUGAAAACAAUUUGCAAUUCCACCAUCAAAUAUGGUCUGUGAACUCUUUAUGCUAUGAGAUUUCAUGGAGGACAUUAAAAAGAGUAGGAUAAUCUCUGCCCUAACUAAUCUGUGAAUUAAAUAAUAAUAUGAAUAUCAGGUUCCAUCAGUCAUAGAAAGUGAAAUUCUUAGUAAUAUUUUGCAUAAAUUAAUCGAAUUAAUAAAUUUGAUUAGAACUUUAUAUUUACUUCUAUUCAAAAGCAGAAUGCAGUUAAAUAUGUGCAAUGAUAACCUUGGAAAAAGGAAGCAAUUUGUUCAGGCUUAGUUUCCUUACUUGUAUCAUAGGGAAAAUAAUUGCUACUUGCUAUGAUUGACAGAAGUCUUCAAUAAGAUAACUUCUACAUGUGUAUUGACUUAUUGACAGAAGUUAUCCAUAAGGUAACUUCUACAUGUGUAAACUUGUUCCAUCUACAUUGUGGAUGCUAGUUUCCUUGAGGAAUAACUAAUAUUCUUUUAGGAAUAUUAAAAUCCUCAUAAUUUCAUGACUUCAAUUCUUUAGGAUGAGACAUAGCAUAAAUUCAUUGACACACAAAGAACUCAGAAAUGAAUUCAAAGACAUUGGUUAAGAAUAUUAAUUUAGUUCUCCUUAAUUUUAUUUGGACUUGUCAAAUGGCUAUAUAAGUUCAGAUCUCCAAUCUUUUGUGUGUCAUUCCUUUAUGAGGCUGGCUUUCAGCUUUGGUAGGUAAGGGCAUUCGCCCCUCAGUACUUGAGUUAUUUCUUCAAAUACCUACUGAUCCGGGGCUCUCCUCAAAAUUAUGUCCAUGAGCAAUUUGUCAAUGUGACCUUAUUUAGAAAUAAGUUCUUUAUAGAUGUAAUCAAGUUGAGGUCAUACUGAAUUACUGUGGGCCCCAAAUUCACUAUGACUAUUGUCCUUGUAACAAGGGUCAUUAGAGAUACAGAAGAUGCAGAUAAAGAAUGCUCAGGGUUGCAGCAAUCACCAGAACAAAGACAGAUCCUUCACUAGAGGUUUCAGAGAGAACCUGUCCCUGCUGACUUUUUGGUAUUGGACAUCUGGACUCUAAGAACUGCCAGAGAAUAUACUUCUCUUCUUGAAAGACACUCAGUUUGUGGUAAUUUGUUACAGCAACCCCAGGAAACUAAUGCACUGGCUCGUCUGAAGGUCAUGAGGUUUGCCAGUGAUUCUGUAGACCAUCCUCUGUACUAUACCAGUUUGAAUGGAAUUCCCUUAAUUUUCCAGCCUUGAUACAGGAUUUGGAUUUCUGUAAUCUACACCAUCCCUAUUAUUUCCUUCAGAGAAAGAAUGAUGAAAAAUGAUGUCACCUCAAGUCUCUCUUCCAAGGAGUCCAGACUUAUAUUCUUCUCUUCGACAUUAUGACUUAGACUCUCUUUGGGACCAGACAAGUUCCCAGUCCUAAUGAAGCAGAGAACUGCAAAAUCCAGAAUGCCUUGGAGAAGUAUCAUUAGUGAGCAAUUAUGACAACUGGGAAUUUUAGGCAAGAACAUAUUUAUGGUUAAUUUGCCUUCUGGAUAUUAAAGUGAGUUUUAGCAUUUGGACCUUCCCUAUUUGAACUUCCUCAUUAAUCCCUUUCUAUAGAGAAGGUGCAUAAGACAUGGUGUGAGAAGUGGGUUUCUAUUCACCGGAGUGCACUGUAGUUUCUAAGUUAAUGUCAGACUAAGCUCAUAUAUGCCAUCUUGGGUGAGUGUGACAUAUUUGACUUCAUUCAUAUGAUAUUAAUAUUAAAUGUAAAGGGCAGUAUAUUAAAAUGUAUAAUAUAGAGUAAACCUCCUUAAUAUUUACUAGCCAUAUAAAGAGUAUAUGCACGUAAACAUUUAAUAUUAAUCAGUAUAUUUCAUCUGUCUUUUCCAUUCCAGUCUUCACUCCAUUAAAAAACAAUUGCAGGAAACUUCCAUUUGGGCCUCUGGGUCAUUCCUCAUUCAAAAAGUCCUUUCAACAAACAAAGCUGUGUGCAGCCCUGAGCUGGAACAAAAAACUACAAAAAAUGAAGGCCAAACAUAGUUCUAUGUUUCAGAACUAAUAUUUCUAUAAUGGGCAAACACACACACACACACACACACACACACUUAGGACAAAAUGGAAAAGGACUGUGUAUAUGAAGAAAAAAGAUCAAUUAGCUCUUCAUGAGAAAGUCAAAUCAAUCUUCAGAGAUAAAAUGUGAAUAUGUGAACUGGUCUUAGGAAGUGAGAAGGUGUGAGAAGGGCCAGGGGAAGGUCUGCAAAAGUAGGUUCUUAAACUCAUGUCCUGUCCAAGCAACACUGUUUUCAGACCCGAUUAAUCUACCUGCAGCACAGUUCUGCACAUCCCUUGUCAUAUCUCUCCUGCCUUUACUCUGUACCUGUUGCUUCCAUAGCAACGUUUUGACACCUCAGCUGGAAUUUAAGACAUUCCAUAAUCAUAUUUCAAUUUUAUUUCUGUUUUUUCCUAUCCCCUACUCUGCUCCCUCUGCCCAGCAUUUCCUAGGACGUUGCCUUCAUACCUGCAAGUUUCUAAUUCUACUUCCUUUAACCAUUUUCAUCCAGUUUCCAAUAUUUCAGAACCCAGCUUAACAUCACCUCCUCCAGAAAUUCUUCUUUUUACUUUCAGUAGAAACCACUUUCUCCAUUCCUCUCUCAUGAUGCGUGUGAUGAAUUGUAUUAUAUUUCUCAAAUAUUUGCAGCCUUUGCAAUGGUGUCUAUCCCCAUGUCUUCUCCCUGGUGCUCUACUGACAUCAGAGGGGGCCAAUGACAUUCCCUAGUCAAUGGAACCUGAGAGAAAGUGGUGUGCCAUUUCUAUACAGAAGCUCUCUGUGCUGUUCCACCUGAUGCUGCCAUAAAGCCAACAUGUCCCACAGGGGCCAUUCCUUCUGCCUGAUUCCAGGGAUGAUGGCAACAUGGAACAGAAGAGCAGCUGAGCAUGAAGUACUGUUACUGCAUGAGAACUGUUGAGGCUACUUGUGGUUGUAUUAUCAAUGAAUAGUCUACUGUAAGAUCAUCUGUAUGACAGGCCUUAUUUUCCUUCAUAAAAGAUCAAUAUUUGUAUUUGUAACAUUUCUUCAUUAUUAGGCUAUUGAGCUCCUUUAAAAUCUAUGUGGGAUUCCCCCAAUGAACUUAUCAUGCCCACCACAGGGCUGGGCAUUCAGUAGUUGUUGACUAAAUAUUUAUUGAUUUGCAUGAUAAAUGAAUGUGUAAUUUCAGAAAGUAGUGUACACAUGCACUGGUAGGAGCCUUCAAAGUGGGGUAAAGGAGGCUAUGAAGAAG